rnacentral:lncRNA from 1 species
GACAAUAUGCCUUGUUUUUCCCUUACUUUCUAUCUUAGAUUUAUCCCUUUUCCUUUUAAGAAUUAACCUUCCUUGUAACCUUUUGUUUUUGGGGGAAAUGAAUUAAUGUAUGGAACUUCAGACCACAUGGAACUACCAUUAAGUGGAUUAAUGGUAUGCUUGUAACAAUUCAAGAACAUGGUUGUAGCAACCAUGGUGCAACAUACUCCUCUACAUCCCUAUUGCGGUAUGAAAUGGAUGAUACUACAUGCACACAUGGGACACCUACUAGUCACCAAGAUCUGCAUCCACAUGUCCUGUUGUUAAGGUCCAAAUUAUAUCCAUCAUUUCCAAUCCUAACCUCAUAUUGUUGUAUCCCAGAAGGUACAACUCCCCAAAAUCCAUCCACAUAUGUGUAAGUUUUAGUAUAUACACAUUUAUAAAUAAACGUCACAAAAUACAUUUGGUGUCUCUUUAACAUUAAUAAUUAUAUAGAUGGGCAUAUGUUUAAAUUGUUCCAACUAUUUCUAUUUACGCUCUAAUUAUACAUCCUUUCCAUUGCAUAAAUAUGAAUUUCUUCCAACAUGGUGAUGAUUGGUCUCUUCCUAGCAACAUCAAUGGCAAAACUGAAACUUUUGAUAUGCCAUUUUCAUAAGCAUCAUAAGUGCUAUCUACUUGAAAGAAUGCCUUGCACCAACUUUUAGGGUCCCUUUUCUUGAGGUGUUCAUAAGCCAAUGGUUCAAUCUUUUUGAUUUCAUAAAAUUCUGCCUCAAAUUUAGGCUGGGUAGUACAACCAACAACAUCCCAAAACAUCUUCCUAAAUUGUUCACCUUUGAAUCUUUUCUUGAAGUUAGCAUAUAUGUGCCUAACACAUUGUCUACACUCGAUUACUAAAACCCUUAAUUUGAUAGCAUAUAGUAAUACCUGACAUAAAACAUGAUAUAUAGUUGAGUAAUACUAAAAGAAAACAUGAAAUAUGGUUGAAUACCACUAAAGAAAACAUAACACAAAAUAUACCUUGUGUUGGUCUGAUAUGAUGGUCAAUCCAUGACCAACUCCCAUUCCGAUUUCAUCCAACAGGAGAUCAAGAAACCACUUCCAUGUUUCUUUAUUUUCAACUACCACCAUAGCCUUGACAAUAGGAUAGAUGUGGUUGUUUUCAUCCCUACCAGCAGCUGCUAGCAGCUGAACUUUACAUAUACCCUUUAAAAAACAACCAUUUAUCCAUAUUACCCAUGGCAACUUCAAUCCACCUAUCCUUCACACCCUUAAAACAAACACAUACUUAGAAAAGUAAGAUGUGGAAUCAGGCAUGACAUCUACAUCUAUCUUUACUGUUGACCCAAGAUUUGUCCUCAUAAUUUAUUCUCCAUAACUCCAUACUUUACCAUAAUGUUCUAUCAAACUACCCUUCUCAUCUAAAACAUAUUUCCUAGAAUUUCUACCUUUACCAACACUAACAAUCAAGUUAAACCCAUACUUACCUUGGCUUUCAUUUUCCUUAUGCUCAUUUAGGGGUUCUACAAAAGAUGUUUCUUAAAAUGCUUCCCAAUCCAUUUGUAUGUUAUAAUGGGACCAAGUUUGAAGACUUGUGAAUAAUUAUGCUUAUCAAUUAACUUAAUAUGGAAAGACCUUUCCCUACUCAUCCAGGAAGCCUACAGUGUAAAAGGACAAGAAGGGUUCUUAUUAUCUUUACAACAUCUUAUUAACAACCUUUGACUAUCAUUUUUCUCAAAACAUAGGUUGUAGCUAUUCUUUACUGCAUAAUUAGUCACACAAUUCUCCAAUUCCAAAGGGUUAGAGAAUCUCAUACCCAAAACUGACACCAUUUUAUCCCAUUUCUGGUUCCUAUUAUGGACAUGAAACACCGGUUUCUCAUAUCCAUUGUUGGUUUCAACUUCAUCAUUUGUAUCCCUGGGAAUACCUGACGCCUGGUGCAAAAAGUCAUCAUCAACAGUCUUGUCAAGAGAAGGGACAUCAUCAUCUUAUUCAUGAUUAUAUGACAUAUCAUUAGAAAGUUGUGAAUUAUUAUCAUCAUCCAAGUCUUGCUCACAAUCAUGCCCUUCAUCAUCUUCUACUACUUGUAGAUCAACCCAAUCAAGUAUAGCUUCAUUUUCAUGGUCAAUAUACACACUCAUUCUUAGAUCAUUUUCAAUACUAUAACCAGUUUCAUGAAACUCAUAGAGCCAUCAUCAUUACUAAUUCUCUUAAUACCCUCUGCCAAUGUUUCAUUUCUAAUGCAUUAAUAAAAAUCAUCAAAACUCCUUUUAAUCAACUUUUGAAGGAACAAAAGAAACCCUUUAAGAUUCAUUGCACAGAAAUCAACAUCACAUAUUGAAACAACAACAAGAUUCAAGUACACUAACGAUUUUGGUGCGAAAAACAUUUACAAUGAACAUCCACAGUUAACUACUUACUUGGUGAUGAAUUUGAGACCAUCUUCUUCACAAUAACAGUCACAUUCAAUAAUUGUCUUCAAUUUCGUAACCCUAGUCUUCGAUUGACAUUACGGGGUGUAGAAUCGGGGGUUAAGGUGUUCGUAAUCGUGCGUGUGGAACCCGAGUUUAAGGAGAAAAGGGAUGAAGUGUGUUAGUUCCAUGUAAUACGACAUGUCAUUAAUAAUUAAACGAUGUAAUUGAAGGAAACCGACAAAACAGGUGAUUGUCGGUAAAAAGGGUUAUGAUGAACACAAACAACAAGUUAGAUAAUAUAUAACAUACAAAAAGGAAAUGGACCAAAUGUGAACAAAUCAAUAAUUAGUUACCCUUCUAAGUAUACCCACGACUCUCGUUUGGUGGUCUUCGGUCUUCAAAAUUUUACAAUCUUUCAAAUACAAUCUGCCAUACACAACAGUUCAUACAUUAUAUAGUUGUACAAUACAAUAUUUUAAAACACCAAUUGAUGUAUACGGAGAAAAAUUGUUGUGUACGGAUCAACUCCCAAUCUAAUUACAUUUAGAAUUAAAAGAAAAUACAUUACAUGAAAAAAAUGGCACAUAUGUUACGAAAAUACAAAUUUAAUAAAACCAAAAUACACCCAAAUAUCAUCAUAAACAUAGGUCUAUCCGAGACAGUUGGUUACAAGAUCCAUACAAUUAAUAAUAACAUUUUUAUAUAGUCUAAAAGUGUUUGACAACCCUUUCCGACAACAUAAAAUUGUCGCAAAAGGUUGUUUUAGCUUAAAUAAAAUUAUAAUAAAUAGUACUCAUCUUUAGUGAUCGUUUUAACUCUCACAAAACAACAGACCGGCUUUAUUAUAUUCUUUAUAAAAAAACCGUCAGUUUUAACGACACAUUUUAUAAGAAUAAUUACUUAAGUGAGUUGUGUCAAAACAAACUUUUAAUCAAUAUUUUGAUUAAGAUCAAAUCCAUACAAUUUGACACUUAAAACUUGGAUGAUUUGAUCUUUGUCAACAUGCUUUUAUGUUUUCAAAACGUUUUAAAACUCAUAAAACAUGUAAACAUAUUAUACACGAUUUUGUAUGAUUUCGAUGCCAUUAAAAUUACUUCAAAUUUGUACCAACAAAUCAAAACAGUAAAGAAUAUAGAAUAACAAAUUUAAACACAUUAGAAGAAAUAGAUUUUCCACUUUCCCAAAAAAAAAAACAAAUUUUGAAAUUAAAUUACAUAAUUAACUAAGCAACAAAAUCACAAACAAAUAAACAUCAUGAUUGAACCAUUGGAUCUUGUGUUUAUCAAUUAAUAACAAUAUACUUUAUGAACUACAAUAGGGUUAACAUGAUUAUUGAAAAAUUAAUGUGAAGAAGAAGAUCUAGGAUCCAAAGUAGAAUCUUUAUAAUGGUUUGCAACCAUUGGUUUCAAAAAGCAUGAACACCUUCAAGCUUGGAACACAAGAAAUUGCAAAACCCUUGUGUGUGUUCUCCUUGGUGCGCUUGGUAUAAGUUACAACUUUUACAACUAGAUGUGCAAAAAAAAUGAUCAAAUUAGGCCAAAUUAUAAAGUUCUAUAGACUACAUUAACAUCAAUCCUGGUAUAUCCGUGUCAUUAACAAAUCUUAUCUAAAAAUAUGGAAAAGAUGUACGUACGUUUCGGUUGAACUCAAUGGAUGGAUGGAACGAAUAGAGUUCGUAUUUCGUAAGGUAAGGAUAGGUUGGUGCUUAAAAAAUGCGAAUUCAAAAGAGAGAGGGCAGAGUUGUUUUAGAUGAAACUUGAAGGGUGUAAACUUGAUCUUAACCUUUUCUUUUUCACCCUCCCGACGAUAAGAUGUUUCGACGAGUCUCCGUUAAAUUACAGAUAACUGGUAUAUCGUCGUGGACAGGACCCAAGCCAAUACAACCUUCUUUCUAGUUCUUCAGAACCUAACAACGAUACUCGAUGCAUCUCGUAUGUUCUGCCUUCCCUCAUUCUUCUACGUAGAACCAUACCAAAUUGUCCAUUCAUAGUUCACAGAAACCAGUUUUCCAUUUGAAUUCCGGUUUAAAAAUGGCUGUUCUGCUAAAUUCGGUGCCUCCGAUGACAAGUCUAUCCACAGACCACUCCAGAAAAGCUCAGACUCCUCAAUUUCAUUCGUUUUCCCCCAAAAGUAGAUUUUCUAGGGUGUUAGCAUCUAGUCAGGUAGCAUUAGCUUCAAAAGACGCUGUUUUCACCCUUCCCAAUUGGAGAUCAGGUAGGACCGAUCCGAAAAACAAAGACUACAGGCUUAACGAUGCGUUCUUGUAUUUGGAAUACAUGGUUGGAAAAGGUCACAAACCUGAUGUUUACCAUGCCACUCAACUGGUGUAUGAUCUCUGUAAAUCCAAAAAACUCAGGAAAGCCACUAGGGUUAUGGAGAUGAUAGUUGAUUCCGGUGGCGUCCCUGAUGUAGCCUCGUAUAAUUUCUUGGUGAGCCAGUUGUGUAAAAGAGGGAACGUUGGCCAUGCAAUGCAGUUAGUGGAGAAGAUGGAAGAUCACGGAUACCCAACACAUACUGUUACUUAUAACUCUCUGGUUAGAGGGCUUUGUAUGCUUGGGAACUUGAAUCAAACCUUGAUGUUCAUCGAUAAACUGAUACAAAAAGGAUUGGUUCCUAAUGCUUUCACUUAUUCAAUCUUGCUAGAAGCUGCUUAUAAGGAAAGAGGGGCUCAUGAGGCGAUGGAGCUGUUAAAUGAUAUCAUUUCUAAAGGGGGCGAACCUAAUCUUGUAAGCUAUAAUGUCCUGCUUACCGGAUUGUGCAAGGAAAACAGAACCAACGAAGCGCUUUCUUUCUUCAGGGAGUUACCUUCAAAAGGGUUUUCUCCAAAUGUCGUGACUUAUAACAUUCUCUUGAGAAGUUUGUGUCGUGAAGGCAGAUGGGAUGAAGCAAAAGGGCUCUUGGCUGAGUUGGUGGAAGCAGGGUUAUCACCAUCUUUAGUUACCUACAACAUCUUAAUCAGUUCUCUUGCUUUUCAUGGUAGAACUGAUAAUGCACUCAAGGUGCUCAAUGAAAUGUCAAAGGGAGAGUUCAAGCCAAUUGCUGCCACCUACAAUCCAAUCAUUGCACGCCUUUGUGAAGAAAAAAAAGUAGAAGAAGUAAUGAAGUGUCUGGACUUAAUGACAUACAGGGAUUGCAAUCCAAAUGAAGGAACCUACAACGCCAUAGCUGGCCUCUGCAAACAAGGUAUGGUGCAGGAAGCUUUCUCCAUCAUCAACAGUUUGAGCAGUAAACAAAACUCCUCAAAUCACGAAUUCUACAAGAACGUGAUAUCAGGAUUGUGUAGAAAGGGGAACACUUUUCCUGCAUUUCAGCUUCUUUAUGAAAUGACAAGGUAUGGAUUCACUCCAGAUUCUUAUACUUAUUCGUCUUUGAUUAGAGGUUUGUGCAUGGAGGGAAUGUUGGAUGAAGCUAUGGAGGUAUUUGGGAUCAUAGAAGAGAGUAGUUACAGGGCUGAUAUCGAUAAUUUCAAUGCACUUAUACUUGGACUUUGCAAAUCUCAGAGAACAGAUUUGGCUUUACAGAUUUUUGAGAUGAUGAUACAGAAAGGGUAUAUGCCAAAUGAGACUACUUAUACCAUUAUUGUAGAAGGGAUUGCUCAUCAAGAUGAGAAAGAGUUGGCAGCUUUGGUUUUGAGAGAGCUACAUUUGAAACAAGUCAUUGGUCGAAAUACAGUAGACAGGCUUCUGAUGCAAUAUGAUUUUGAGGAUUUCAAUGGCUAAAUACUUGCAACUUGCAAUCAUAAUGCACUUUUGAAGAUCAAGAUUUUGUUCUUGAGAAGUGAGCUUAUUAUGAAUAUAUAAAUAUAUAAUUUGAGGUAUGCUAAUUAAUGUUGUUUUAGGUUUAACUAUCUCUGUUGUAUAUCUUUCUCUAAUAUGCUGAAGUCAUAUUUCUUAAAUGCAAGUUCGUAUGUUCAAUUUCUUGCUGGAGAUGCAACCAGUUUUGACAACUCAUAAAGAGAUUUUUGUAAUUAGUUGAAGUUAAAUUUUGAUUACAUCAGUAAUCAUUUUGUAUCUUAGAAAAAUUCAUGUAUCAUAUUAAUGAAAACUAAUAAAUAAGAGUUGAUUUUGCCUAGGAUUUUAGAAGGCUAUGAGUUGGACAAUCUAAUCCAAGUAAGAUUAAUGUUUUGGAUGCUAUCAACCUUGUAGUCUCGGAUUGGACAAUUAAUGUUGAACAAGAGACAAUGACAAAUUGUUUAAUUCGGGGGACACUUGUGAAAACAACAUUUAUGAUCUUGAUUUCUCAUGAUUAAUGAUCUCAAUUAUCACAAUAAAAUGGAUGCAUAUUGGUCCAGAUCUUUGUCUUGAACUCUUACAAGAAAAUACCCGGGUGAAAUUGUUUAUAGGUCGAGAUCUUAGAAGAAAUUAUGGCUACUAUAAUUCAGAAUAAUGUUGAUGAUGAUAUAGUACCUUUGGAACCAAUAACUCUUACAAGUUUUCUUUGGAACCAACAACUCUUACAAGUUUUGCUGCGUUUUGAGAACACAACGCCAUAAAUUUUUGAUGUGCAAUAAGAAAAGUUAGAGAUGUGCUCCAACUAGACUUGGAUUUAAAGAAAAAAUAAACAAUAGAAUCAUAUUUCCCUAAAUUGUCUUAGUUAUGUUAUAAUCGUUAGUUUAUGAUUUUAAUGAGACCCUAUAUUUAUAUAGAUUGGGGUGGUUUGAAAAUAUAUAAUCUCAUUGAAAUUUAUCGAGUAUAAAUUUAAAGAGUUUCUAUUAUACUUCAAGGAGGAAACCAUUGCAAAAUAAACUAAAUUUGUUACAAGAAGCAAAGGUUGAAGUGCCAAGGGGAAUAAGAAGCACUUGAAUGCCACAAGUUAUUGAUGCGUAAUAAAUGAUUGAGUUAUUACGAUUGAGUUAAGGGUUCUUGAACGGCCACUACAGCUCUAUGCUUUUGUGAGGAUAUGGGGAGAGGGAUUGCCCUUUGGACGAUGUGCUAAGACACCAAAGUACGUCGCAUACUCUCUCAUGAGCAGUUCCUAAUUGAAACCCCAAGACCCGAACAUUAAACUUCCCUUGCAAAGACAAGUGACCUACUCUUACUCGGUAGGUCACGAGAUGGUUGUGCGAAUUCAAUACAUUAGUACUAACAGAUUCGAUACAAAUGCAAUGAUUAUUUCUUCUACAAUAUAUCUAUAACUAAAUGACAAUUAGGAGUUUAUUUUCUUUAACUAAAUGUCAACACACAAAAAAUAUAUCUUUCAUUUGUGACUUGUAGAAAAGCAUUUACUCUAUUGUUGCUUUGGUGGCUUUAUAAUCACCGGAGGAUUUGCGUCAUUCCACUCAAUAAAAAUACAAUUUGGCCUAGAAGAUAGAGCACAUAAAAAACCUUCUUUAAAGGUUGUCAUGGGGUGCAAGAUGAUAAAGAGUUUAACCUAGUAUUGCCCUUUAUUCAACCAAAUUUGGAUAAGCCCACUGAGUUUAUGUCUUGGAUUGUAACACCCCCGAACCAGACGGCGGAAACGUCCGGGGGCUUGUGCGUGACUUCAUCUUGAAAUAUCAUUACAGUGAAUAAAAUUGAAACAUAACAUCAUCAUCAUCACACAUGUAAUAUAACAACAUUCAUUGUUUACAUCGAGUAUUGUAUUUGAAUAUUACAUGCCAAAAUAGUAAGAGUAUGAUGAAACAAAAUAUAACACAAUAUCCAUUAGUGUGUUUCAUUCAUUCUGCUUCAAGGGUUUCCUGAGAAUACAAGUUAUUUUGAAAAUGCUCAACAUAAAAUGUUGGUGAGUUCAUAAGCAUGUUUGUGAAAAUGAUUUGUAUAAUUUUGAAACCACCAGAAAAUCCUAUAUUUUCUGCAAACUGUUUAGUAUGUUUGUGUUAGAUCUUGUAUUAAUGCAUGUAUGUUUUUGAUUAUUUGACUAAAAGGGUAAAGAGAAUGUAGAAAGAAUGUAAAGAGCAUGUUCCCAGACAACCCGAUGUUGCCUGUAAAAGAGAAAGCUACCAUACCAACCCCCGAGGUUGAGUACCAGUACAAGUAUGUUUCCGAGUAAUCCAAGAGAAAAGAGAAUGGUCUUCCGUAAACUUCAUAACGUUAAUUCCUCUAAGUGAGUCGUCAUAACCAUACUAAAUAAUGACAAUUUCGCCUGUCUUGGCGUUGUUGGACGCCAAUUUUGAUUUUUGAUUAUAAGGUUUUCGUCACCCUAGACUGAGUUAGUCUAAAUGUAGCGAACAACUCAGGUGUGGGGUGUCAUCCCCGUAUAGAUCUAUACACAAAUCCCUGCUCUCAUUCCAAGAGACUCUGGUUAUAAGUACAGGCUACGAUCGUACACUUAAUAGGUGCCAACCAACAAAACUCAAUAGAUCCUUAAUCGAAUUUACGCGAAGAAAGGUAUAAUCUCAUUCCAGGCCCAAUGAACCAUGUAAGUGAACCACUAAGGCAUCGCUAAACAUGUAAACCAUUUAAAGGCCCAAAUUGGAAUGAAAUUAUAUAACAUGUGCCCGAAAUAUAUAUGAAAGGACAAUUAAGGCCCAUUUCACAUGUAAGGUAUUUACAGGCCCAAAUAGCACACAAAUAGUAUCCAAGGUUCGUCGCACAUGUUAAUGGGCCAAUGAGGCCCAAUAAACAUAUAAAUAGUAUACAGAACCUAUCACGCAUAAAAAUGGACCACUAAGGCCCAAUAACCUAGAAAAUGAUCAAAUUAAUUCGUUUGUUAAUUUAUCGUUGGUUUUGGUUCAAGUAUUCACUAAAAUCGCAUAAAAGCCCACUUUUUGUAAAAAUGACGUUCUUGGCCCAAUAAGCCAAAAAUUUACAAUUAAGGCCCAAUUUUUGUAAGAAUAACACUUUAGUCACCAUUUUGUUCAAAACCUAUGUUGAUGACUAGUUUGUGGUAAAAAUAACAUUUUAAACCCAUUUUUGUCAAAAAUAUCAUUUUUGGCUUGAUUUUUGUGAAAACACACAUUUUCUGGUUUUGGGCUUUUCUGAUCUAGUUGUUGGAAAAUUCGUAGAAAAAAUCAUCGUAAGUCGAAAUUUGGAUCCGUAAAUUCUGGAAGUUUUUUCUCUGCUUUGUUCACAAUUUUUCUCAUAAUUUUUGAUACCCUCAAGCUAGUGUGAAAUUACUCACCUUUACAGGUUGGUCCGAAAUUAUUUCAAAUAUGAUAGACAGUUUUGUAAAAUUUGCCAAAAAUUGUAGAAAAAUCGUAUGAAAACGUGAGAGUAGUCAUUUAAAGGUAUAAACCAGAAAUUUGAGCAUGUAAAACAGUUUUGAAAAAUAUUACCAUUAACGGGGUCAAAACAGUUCGAGAUUGGCCUAAAACUUUUUUUGUCAAAAGCUGAUUUUUGAGUAUAAGUUAUUCAUGUUUGUUCACAACACUUGUUUUUUCUAUUUUAAGUGUAUAAAUCCCAGAUCUAAAAGUUUAUAUGUAUUAUAUGUGAUAACACAUAUUUUUCUCAAGGUUCUUAUGAAGAUCCAAGUGGUAAACUCCAUAUUCUUAAACUUAUGAAGUAAGCAACACAUAAUCACCAAAUGAUUCAAGAAAACACCCAUAAUCAUGCAUAUACACAUAGAUCUACACAAAUCAACUUAUAUUCUCCCCAAAAAAUAAGUAAAAACCGAAAACAAUGGGGUACGAACUCACCUUGGGAUGAUGGAUCAGUUUUGGUGAAGAAGUGGAAGAAGAUUUUUGAUCCUAACAAGCUUUCUUGAGUAGAUCUUGAACUUAAUUGGUUAUAAGAACAUGAUCCACAUAAUAUGGGUGUAAGAGGAGAUUUUUGAAGAGAUCAAGAAGUUAAAUCAUAGAUCUAAGCAAAAACUUACCAAAGAGUGAUGACUUUUUGGUGGUAAACCUUCUUGAAAUUGCUCUAAAUCUCGAAAAUCUUAGAAGCAAGUAGGGAUGUUCUUGAGAGAUUUGGAGGUGUUUGAAAGAAAGUGUGUGUGUGUGUGUGUUUGGUGCUUUAGGCCGAGAAGAAAAAGAAGGGAAGGAAGAAAGAGAGUGAGGUGAUGGAAGUUCUUGAUGCAUGAGAUUUCUUGCAUGGAAUACCACAAUGUAAUAAGUAUGUGUCUAAUUCUCCUUAAUUACUUUUUUAAAUAUAUUUUUAUAUAUACAUGGGCUGAUGUCACACCCCCAAACCGGAACGGCGGAAAUGUUCGGGGGCGGAUGACUUCAUGUGGUAACGUAACAAAUGAAUACAUAGUAAAGAAAGCAAUAUAACCAUCAUAUAUAUAAUUGAAAGUUUACAUUGUUAAAAGAUAUACGUUCAAAACAAAUUACAAUAUGAUGCCAAAAUAUGAAUUUAAACUGGCGCCGCAGCGUCCCUUCUUCAAAAGCUGUUUGUUACCUGUAAUUACUGAAUCCCUGGGACAUACAAGUAGUUUUGAAAGAGUAGAUCAGCAUUUAAGCUGGUGAGUUUCAUAAGUAUUAAAUGACAAUGUUUGUAUGAAAUGAAAUGUUUUGUUUUUGUUUGUUUGUUCCUAGAAAAUCCCAUAUUUUCUACUAGCUUGAAUGUAGCCUUCUAUCAAGACCAAUGUUUGUUUCUAGAAAACUUAUGUACGUAUAAAAUUUUGCCAAUACGUCUGAAAAACCCCGUAAAUCAAUGUAUUUUUAAUACUCCAUGUGAGUUUUAUAACCAUGCUAUUGACUAGAAAUGCCUAUACACAACGUUCUUCAGGCGUUGGAAUGUUCUGACGUUUGUCACCCCAAAUGGUGUACUGUAGCUAACAGUCAGGGCGCGGGGUUGUCAAGCCCGUAUAGAUCUAUACACAAACACCAUGCUCCCCCUCCAAGGGAUUCUGGUAUAUAAUACAGGACUUGAAAUGCGUACUCGAACGUACGUGAAGUUAAUGUCUCACAAAACUUAGUAUAAAACAGAUUUACGUGUGAAAAUGUUCGUUUGUUCUUGUAUGUGAAAGGAACUUCUUGAAGUAGUGUUUAUAGUAUGUAAAAGUUCGUGAUGUUCUCGUAAAACUAUACCUAUUAUAGUUUUCUAAAAGUAUGUCUCGUUUGUAUAGUAAUCCCUAGUGAAAUGCUCACUUGUUAUGAAAAGUAUAAUUUUUGUAGUGCCUAAGAUGGACACAUAUACAUACAGUAUAAGCAGAGUGUUUGAUUUAUACAUAUAUAACAACAUUUUUCAUUUCCAAAGAUAUGAUGUUAUCGUGAUAUAUUUUGCAUACGAAAGUUUCCCUAUAAUAGUUAUAAAUCACAUAUGAUUCCGUUGAUAAAAAGUGUAUAAUGAAACUUUAUAUAACACACGAUAAUAAUCGUGUGUUUUACUUGUAUUUCCCCCUUAAAAGCAUAUAAAAGCAUUUAUAAAACAUUUAAAAGUGUGGAUUAUAAGGGUAUGAACUCACUUGAAAGAUCAAAAAAGGCAAGAUGAAAACCGAGAAGAAAUUCGACUCAAGAAAGCGGAUUUUCUCGGGAUUCUCGGGAAUCUCGGGAGCACAAACGACCUUCGGGACUUGAGCAAGGAAACCGGGGCUGCGGGUUAGCACGGGCACGGAAAACGAGGCAAUAACGCAAGAAAGUUGAGAGAAAUUGAUCCCUUUCUUCAGAACGCUCGCAUCCCUUUUAUAGGGGCUGGGAACCGCCUCGGUACGCUGGGCGUACGCGUGCGUAUGCGUGACCUCCUCCUCGACUGCCUCGGAGCUUCGGAUGGGACGGGGCAUAGCCUCGCAUAGGGGCGACGUGGACGAUCCGAGGCUUAUCCUCGAGUACGCUGGGCAUAACUCGGAUCGACCUGGUGACUCAUCCUUCGGAUAAUGUCGAGAUUAAAUAAUAAAAUUUAUAUUUUAUUUAUUUAAUAAACUUCAAAAAUUCAUAUCUUCUUCAUACGAACUCCGUUUUCGACGUUCUUUAUAUCCACGCGUAGGUGAGACUACGCUCUACAACUGUCGUUUAGAUUCCGUCGGCAAAUUUUGAAAUUAUUUUUAUUAUUUAUUUUUAAAAGGUCGCGGAAAGAAAAUUUCGUUAGAAAUUUAUAACUUCAUUAUCUAACGUCUGUUUUUGCCAGACUUUUUACCUAGUAAUACCAUUGUCGAGACCUUCGAUUCUCAUUUAGGUCAUUCCGGCCAAAAGUCGCUCGAUCUCCGAUUCGAGUUUUUAGCUGUCUGUCGCUAAGCCCAACUUGGAAAAAUCAUAACUUCAUUAUACGAAGUCAGAUUUGGGCGUUAUUUUUACGUAUGACCACGGUUUAACGUCAUCUAACAUAGUAGCUAAUAAAUUUGAGAUUUUUGGACAUUUUAUUUUCGAAGUAAUUUCAUUAUAUCAAAAGUGGUUACAAUACUUGACUUUUUAGGUCAUUACAUAGAGUUUAAAUAUCGGGAUGUCACAGUCGAUGACUUCGUGGUUUACUGUGAUGCUUCGAUCACGAGCAUGGGUGCGUUCUUGAUGCAACGAGGUCACAUGAUAACAUACGCUUCGAGGCAGUUGAAGCCUCACGAGGCUAACUAUCUGACACAUGAUUUAGAGAUGGGGGUUGUGGUUUUCACCCUCAAGAUUUGGAGGCAUUACCUCUAUGGGUUCUGUUGUACCAUUUACACGGACCACAAGAGUUUGAGGUACCUCAUGUAUAAGAAAAAUCUGAACAUGAGGCAGCGUCGGUGGUUAGAUGUUGUCAAGGACUACGACUAUGAGAUCCUUUAUCACCCGGGCAAGGCCAAUGUGGUGGUCGAUGCCCUGAGCCGUAAGGCAGUGACGGCCCCGAAGGAGGAGCAUCGGAAGUGUGAGCAGAUCAUAGACCAAGUUGCCUCCUUUGAUUAUUACAGUCGUGGGCUGUUGACCCUGCAUGGGAGGUUCUGGGUUCCGUACUGGGGCGGGGUAUGGCAAAUUUUUAUGGAUGGGGCCCACAAUUCGAGGUUCUCCAUCUAUCCUAGGGCGACGAAGAUGUAUCGGGAUCUCCGCCCUGAUUACUGGUGGCCCUGGAUGAAGUGGGACGUAGUGUGGUAUGUGGAGAGGUGCUUGACCUGCAAGAAGGUCAAGGCCGAGCACCAGCGACCCCACGGAAAGAUGCAGCUGUUGGAUAUUCCUGUGUGGAAAUGGGAGGAUAUCAGCAUGGAUUUCAUCACCAAGCUUCNCAGUCACACUAUUUCCCUUAUGUAAGUUCUUGUAAGCCUUUCCAUCUUGUCAGUCUCCUUGAUUGGUAGAAAAUGCACGGAUUUGGUCAAUCUGUCGACGAUGACCCAUAUGGUAUCAAGUCCACUCGUUGUCUUGGGCAACUUGGUUAUGAAGUCCAUAGUAAUUCGUUCCCAUUUCCAUUCCAGUAUCUCUAGUUGUUGUAGUAAUCCUGAAGGUUUUUGAUACUCGACCUUAACCUUAGCGCAAGUAAGGCAUUUACUUAGGAAGGUAGCAAUUUCUGCUUUCAUGUUAGGCCACCAGUACAGUUUCUUAAGAUCCAGAUACAUUUUAUCUGAACCUGGGUGAACGGAAUAUCUUGUGUUGUGUGCUUCGGCCAUGACUACGUCUCUGAAGCCACCAUGUUUCGGUGUCCAGAUACGGUCCAUGAGAUAAUAUGCUCCGCCACCCUUGAUUUCUAGAUUCUUUUCCAUUCCCCUCAGGGAUUCACCCGCCACAUUUUCAGGUUGUAAAGCUUCCAGUUGAGCCUCCUUAAUUUGUGUGGAUAAGUGGGAAUGGAUAGUCAUAGUCAGAGAUUUGACUCUCCGACCAGUGUAUUCUUUUCGACUGAGGGCGUCGGCUACUACAUUGGCCUUGCCAGGAUGAUAACGAAUUUCGCAUUCGUAGUCAUUGAGUAGCUCGACCCAUCGUCUUUGUCGCAUGUUAAGCUCCUUCUGAUCGAAAAUGUGUUGAAGGCUCUUGUGGUCGGUGAAGAUAGUACUCUUUGUUCUGUAUAGGUAAUGUCUCAAGAUCUUCAGAGCAAAUACCACUGCUCCUAACUCAAGAUCGUGUGUUGUAUAGUUUACUUCAUGUCUCUUAAGCUGACGGGAGGCAUAGGUAAUAACCUUCCCUCUUUUCAUAAGAAGACAACCAACUCCUUGAUUUGAUGCAUCACAAUACACUACAAAAUCUUCUAUCCCUUCGGGGAGGGAUAGUAUCGGUGCGGUGCACAAAGCCUGCUUCAGUGUUUGGAAUGCCUUCUCUUGUUUUGCUUCCCAGUCAAAGGCCACACCUUUCUGGGUCAAUGUAAUAAGAGGUUUCGCAAUGCUAGAGAAGUUCUUUAUGAAUCUGCGAUAGUAGCCAGCGAGACCCAGAAAUUGACGAAUCUCUGUAGGCGUCUUUGGUGCCGACCAGUUUUCAAUGGCCUUAAUUUUGGAGGGGUCCACGUGUAUCCCCUUCUCGCUAACAACGUGGCCCAAAAAUUCGACUCUUCGAAUCCAAAAUUCGCAUUUAGAGAACUUCGCAUAGAGCUUCUCCGAUCGUAAUGUUUCUAAGACUUUUCGUAGGUGCUGACUAUGCUCUUCCUUACUUCGGGAGUAGAUAAGUAUAUCAUCGAUGAAGACGAUGACGAACUGAUCCAAGUAAGGACGACACACCAUAUUCAUUAGGUCCAUGAAUACCGCUGGUGCGUUGGUUAAUCCGAAUGACAUUACUUCAAAUUCGUAGUGUCCAUAACGGGUUCGGAAGGCUGUCUUGGGAAUAUCCUCCUCUAGUACUCGUAAUUGGUGAUAUCCGGAUCGUAGAUAUAUCUUCGAGAAGUAGUUUGCUCCUUGAAGUUGAUCAAAUAGGUCGUCAAUGCGGGGCAGAGGGUAACAAUUUUUGACAGUAAGUUUGUUCAGUUCUCUGUAGUCAAUGCACAUACGGAACGAUCCGUCUUUCUUCUUUACAAACAUGACCGGUGCUCCCCAAGGUGAGAAGCUUGGUCUAAUGAAUCCUUUUUGGUGGAGUUUGUUAAGCUGACUGGAAAGUUCUUGCAUCUCUACUGGUGCCAGAUGAUAAGGCGAUUUUGCUACUAGGGUAGCCCCUGGAACUAAGUCGAUUCUAAACUCGACUUGACGUUGUGGUGGUAAUCCCGGUAGUUCUUCUGGAAAGAUAUCGGGAAAGUCGCGUACUUCUGGAAUGCUCUUAAUGUCCUUUACUUCCUGACUCGUAUCGACGAUGUGUGCAAGAAAUGCAUGAUAAUCCUUCCGCAAACACUUUCGAGCUUGGAUGCACGAAAUGAUGCGAAGGUUUGUACUUGAUUUGUCGCCGUAAAUCACUAAUGUUUCGUCGUUAGGGAGAUUAAGACGAACUGCUUUCUCAAAGCACAUGAUGUUGGCGCGAAGAAGACUUAACCAAUCCAUGCCGACUAUGACGUCGAAACUUUUAAUUUGGACCGGCAUGAGGUUGAUUGGGAAAGAAUGACCGUCUAAAGUUAAUGUACAACCCAUGUAUAUGCAGUUAGUGUUUUCCGUUUUUCCGUUUGCCAUUUCUAUAGUGAAUGAUUUUUCUAACAUGCUAGGUUUAUGUUUAAGUAAGUGAAUAAAGUUUUGACUCACGAAGCUUCUCUCUGCUCCACUAUCGAACAGUAUGCAUGCAUAUGAAUUAUCGAGAAGAAACGUACCAGCAACUACUGUAGGAUCAGCUACGGCUUCUUCGUGGCCUAUAGCCAAAACUCGUCCCACUCCGCCGGUAUUCGCUGCCUUCGGGCAGUUUCUUUUGUAGUGGCCCACCUCGCCACAACCGUAGCAAGCUUGGCCUACACCAGCAUUGGGAACUUGAGUGAUCGGCUUUACGGGGGCUUUGCAGAAACGGACAGUGUGUCCCUUUCUGUUGCAGUUGGAGCACUGCAUUUCCCGACAAGGUCCAUGGUGGUGGUAAGUGCAUUUGGUGCACUUUGGAAGGUUACCCACAUAAGGCUUUGUUGGGUAGAGAUUUGUUGGAACGGUAGUAGGUAUAGUAGCAGCAUUCACUAUAACUAGUUGUUGUUUCUUUGAGGAUUCUUGGGAAGACCCACACUUCCCUUUAUUCCAUCCUCUCUUCUUGUUAUUGUUGUUGUUGUUUCCCCUUUGUGGUUCUGGUGCAGAAAUUGUCGAGUUCUGAUGACUUCCGUGAUCAAUAAGAGAUUGUGCCAGCUCUUUGGCACUUUCAAAAGUGUCAGGUUUUGAAGCUAGCACGCUUGAAUAAAUUUGGGGCGAUAGUCCCCAAAUGUAUCUCUCUAUUUUCUUGCUCUCAGGAGCAAUCAUAUUUGGGCAAAGGAUUGCCAGAUCGCAGAAUCUGUUGGUAUAAGUUGCUAUGUCGGUACCAAUCAUUCCAAGAGUCCAGAGUUUGUGCUCGAGUUUUUGAAUCUCUCCUCGUGGACAGUAUUCUCUCAUCAUCAUGAUUUUUAAGCUCUCCCAACUUAUUAAACUUGCCACUAUCAGAUUAAGUACCUUAACAUGGCCAUUCCACCAAGUUAAAGCUCUAUUAGUAAGCGUGUAGGUUGCAAACUUGACUUUGCUGUGCUCGGGACAGGAGCAGAUUUCAAAGACUGAUUCUGUCCUUUCGAUCCACUGCCUCAAAAUCAUCACACCACCAGUUCCAUUAAACAUCCGGGGUUUGGCGUUCGUAAAGUCCUUAUAGGUGCAUUCUUGGGGUUGUCCAUGACUCUCGCCAUGGUUGGAAGGAAGUGUGCCAAUUCUCGAAACAGUAGUAACAUGGGUAUUGAUCUGUGACAUGGCAGCCGCUACAACUACGGUGACUGCUGCUUGGAACAUGGCAGCAUUAAAUUGAGGAGGUGGAGGUGGUGGUGGUAUCGGUGCUUCCCCACUGUUUUUUCGUCUCGGGUUUCUACGCGGAGGCAUCCUUCAACUAUAGAUUGAAAAGACAAAGGUAAGAAUUUCAUAGCAUAGAAAAUGAAUGUGCCUCAUGAACUAAAUCGCUAUAGAUAAACAACAGAUGAUAGUAGAAGUUUCAAAGAUAGACGAAUGGAAGAUUGUAACAUCUGGAAUUUCAGGUAUUAUAAUUAUUCAUUUUAUUUUGAGUUUUGUGGAAGAACUCGGCGAGUUGGUGCGUAGACUCGCCGAGUAGAGACGCGAUUUCUCACCCGGAUUAAUGACCGGACUCGACGAGUCGCAUUGGUGGACUCGGCGAGUCUGCGCUGUUUAAUGAAACCCUAAUUUCUCGGGUUUGGGGCCUAUUUAAAGGGCCUUAUGGCCGUCAUUUGUGCUCACCAGUCCCCAGAGCGAAACCCUAGUGAGCUUGAGCGUUUGGAGUGAGAGAAGGAGCCAUUGUUGACCUUGGAGGUGUUAUCUAGCAAGGGAAAGGAAGCUAUAGCCAAGGGGAAGCAAGAGGAUCAACUUCCUGAAGAUCUGAGGUCCAGAACAUCACGUUUGAGGUACUAUUUUCGAACCAUUUUCUGUUAAGGUGAUGUUCAUGUUGAUUUAGGGCUUAUUGAGCCCUUUUGUGGCUAGAUCUAGUGCUUCCUUGGUCCCUUAAGCGAGUUAGGUUCUGGAUCUGGACCCUUGGAGGUCCAGAGUGUCCCUUUGUCCAAGCUUUUUAUGAAUCCAUGGAGGUUUUGGUUUGCGAUCUUUGUGCUUGAGGUCAAAACACCAUUUAUGAGUCAUUGGGUGUGUUAUGAGCACCAAGACAUGAACUUUACGUGAUAAAUAAGCUUGGAAGGACUGGAUCUAUGAGUUAGUGGAGCAUAUCUGACCUCAGAAGGUCGUUUGGGGUUGUGCAUGGAAUGCACUCGCCGAGUCUAUUUCCAGACUCGACGAGUUGGAGCGAGUGGUUCCGUGUUUUCGAACCAGGGGUUGAGGGACCGAGUUGGGUGAGUGACUCGGUGAGUCGGAAGGGGAUUCAGAGGAAUCGGGUCCCCGAAGGGACUCAGCGAGUCCACGCCAGACUCGGCGAGUUGGGUUGACCGUUGACCGUUGACCAGAGUUGACCGAUGAUGACUUGAUAGAGUUAGUCAACCCUAGUUUGGAAAGUGUUAAUUAGAGAUGUAUUUGUGUUAUAGGAGGAUUAUAGAUCGGGUGAUCGAGCACUAGUGAUUUCAGGGGUUUACGAGUUACCGAGAUACACGAGGUGAGUCUUCUCACUAUACUUUACCUUGAGUAGGUAACCAGAGUUAUGUGACAGAGUAUUUGUAUGCUUUGUAUGUUAUGUCUUGUACUGCAUUAUUUCUAUGUGAUUUAUGAUGUGCAUGUUUACAGAGUUAGAACCGUAAGGUUCACAGAGUUAGAACCAGAAGGUUCACAGAGUUAGAACCGGAAGGUUCACAGAGUAGGGUCCACGGACCCACAGAGUUAUAGCCUCGAGUGGCUAAUAUGUGUUAUGUGUGGUAUUUUGGGGAACUCACUAAGCUUCGUGCUUACAGUGUUUUGUGUUAUGUGUUUCAGGUUUCUCUCGGGAUCACGGGACGGCACCGGCUCGAUUGUACACACCAGAGAAAGAGUCACGUUUUGAGGGUCCUGGUUUAUUAUGCAAGUGAAAAAUGGAGUUAUGUUUUGUAAUACGAUCAUGAAUAAGAUUUUAAGCAAAGUGUUUUUAAGAAUUAAACGAUUAUUUUUAAACGAAAAAUUGUUUUGAAAUUUUUGGUGUUACAAAGAUAUUCGUAAAUCCGAAUAUGUGAAACAAGCGUAUGGUUUCUCCAUAAUAUUUUAAGGAUUGAACGAAAUAUUCAAUGUAGUAGUAAUAGCGUGCCAAUUAUAUUAAUAUAAUAGUUGAUACAACUAUCAUGAAAAUUUGACCCCUAUAAGGGUCUCCGGUUACAAAGUUAACGAAAAAUAAAUGUUUUAGCCGAGGUCCUAACUUAUAACAAAAUUUGGGAUUUGGAAAGCACUACUUACGUCGUAGGUUGCGCUUGGAGCUUGACUCCACAUCCGAUUGCUUUGAUUCCAUAAGACGCCUAUCGAAGGCGGCUUAUUGUUCCUUCAAUUCGGAGAGGGCUGCAAUCAUUUGCGCUUGGAAUGCUUCGGUUUGGAGUUGGGCAUUGUCCUGAGCUCUGUCCAGCCUACGGAUGUCGGAAGUGUGAACCUCUACUUCCACGUUGACUUCCCGAAUCCGGCUAGCUUGAACUCCGGAUUGGUAGGACUGGUUGGCUAGCUUGCCCACCAUGACAGGGAGUGCUCGAUCGGCUGAACCUCCGCCGCGGACAUCGUAGAAGUCUCGACACAUGCCGUAGGGAGGGUGUAGACUUUGUUGUUGAUUCCAAUGGUGGAGGUGACUUCCCCAAAUGGGAGUCGGUCAUUGAAAGUUUCUCAUGAAGACGGGAGGUUGUGCGGGUGGUGGGUUGAUUACUUCCGGCUCUGAGUCGGUACCAGAGUCAGCCUCUUCAUCCAAUUCCAUGGGUUCUUCGUCCUCCUCGGGAUUCUCUUUGAUCCAUCCCCCGUUGCCUUGGUUGGGAUAGUAGGGGUCGUCGGGGUGGUGAAAUCCAGCCAUUUGGCUGUAUGAGAAUAGGGUUAUAAGAAUUGAAUAAAAUUUGGAAUAUGUAUGACUAAGCAUGUAAGUUGAGCUAUUUUAUGUAACAAAUACUCCUAUAGUAUUUAAAUUCGUGUGUUUGAUUCUUGUGAUGUUUUGAUAAGUUUUGACUUGUUUCUCACUACGAUCAUUCCUCGAUAUACAUUGGUCCGAUCUCGAGCAAAUAUAGUUGAUCAUGCUAUAUUUGUCCCAAAUCUGAUUACAUAUAUCGAGUCUUAGUCGUAGUGUCCAACUUGUCUAAAUACUUCUUGUAUAGUUAUAAUCAUGAAAAUAAGUUGUCGUAUGCAUGUAUUUGUACUUAAAUGAAAUAACAAUUUAAGUUAAACGAAACGCGGCUUAGGCGUAAAACAAAAAAUGUUUUGUCAGAGAGUGUCACACCCCAAAACCGGAAUGGCGGAAACGUUCUGGGGUGGAUGACGUCAUGUCAAGUAUCACAACACAUGCAUUAUAGUAAUCAAAGGACAACAAAACAUUGCAUUAAUAGUAAUAGUUUUACAUGGUUUACAUUACGAUACAUCAAAGUAAUACAAGUAAAUAUAAUAAGUACAGCAUGGUACUAAGCUAUCUUCAUCAACAGCUCCGGGGAUGUACCUGUCUAAUGCUGACCUGAGAAUACAAGUUAUUUGAAAAGCGAGUAUCAGCAUUUUUACAAAUGCUGGUGAGUUCAUAAGUAUCUAGUGACAUUUUAUUCAAAUAACCUUAUAAUGUAGUAGUUUAAGAAUUUACAGUGUAUUAGAGUUCUUUCCAGAAAAUCCUAUAUUUUCUUUAAUAAAAGCAGUCUUCUACCAAGACUGGACGGAGUUAGUGUGGUAAAAGUAGUUUUCCCUUAAUUGCUAUCAUUAUCAAAAUACUGAAUUUGAUUAUUAAAGAAGGCAAGAAGAAUCAGGGAAAUAACAUAUGCCUCAGCAGUGAGGACUGCUGACUAAGGCAAAGGAAUCCUAGACUCCAGGAGAGUAUCGAAUGAACGACACGCCUGGCUCAGUCUACCAAAAGGAGGCACAGACCCCAAAAGGUACCAAAUGAAAGGUACAACUGGUAAGGUCUAAAACAGUGAAUAUAGACCACAAAUAGUAUCAAAUGAAAGAUACAUCUUGCAAGGUCAAAAACAGAGAAUAUAGACCGCAGACAGUAUCAAAUGAAAGAUACAACUUGCAAGGUCAAAAACAGUGUGACUCUGAGAAUGAGUUACCAGCAUACAGUGUAAAUUGCUGGUGAAAUACCGUUACCUUAAGGCCAUGAAUUAUAAGGUAACCCGGGAUACUCGUAACCAUACUAAUCGACACUAGAGUACCAGACGCCCUACAAGCGUCUAUAAAAUAUGACAUUUGUCACCCCUUGGCUUGGUAGGCCGUGGACUGUAGCUAGCAGUCAGGGUGCGGGGGUGUCAAUCCCGUAUAGAUCUAUACACACAAUGUCCGCUCUCCCUACAGGAGACUCUGGUUACCAACUAGACGACGGAGAAGGCCGUGUCCUGAAGAUGCAUCCCAAAUAGUGGGUAAUGACUUCCAAACAGUGGGUAGUGGGUUUCUAAUGUAAGUGCUGAACUAGAGGUAGAGACUCAUGACUGAACUGACUAGAGCAUACCUAUACAUCUAUACUCGUAUACAUAAUAUAUAACUAAUGAACCAAACGACCUUCGGACGGCCAUCCGAUCCCACCAGACCACAUCUCAACGAAGAAAAGGAAAUAGGGCGGACAAGCCUUCCUAAGUCCUUCAAUCAUUAUUUAUAUGCAUCUAUACAAGCACAGACAUACAUCUAACUACGCUUGAGUGUGUAACAAGUGGAUUCAUAUCGUGAAGUAUAAGUGUACAGUGUGGAAUAACCGAAUCGCGAAGUAUAAGCGUGCCAAAUGUAAGUGUAUCACGAAGUAGAAGCGACAACAAGUGAAGUAGGAGCGUAUCGAGUAUAAGUGAAGUAGAAGCGAUACCAAGUAUUAGUGAAAUAGAAGCGUAUCACUAAGUAAGAGUGUGAACAAGUAUAAGCGUCUAACAGGUAUAAGUGACUACCAGUAUAAGCGAAAUAGAGACAACAACAGGUAUAAGCGACUACAAGUAUAAACGAAAUAGAGGCGAUAACAAGUAUAAGCGUAUCAAGAAGUGAACGCGUUAUCAAGUAGGAGUUUAAAAUAAGUGAAAGCGAAGCAGUGGUAACUAACAAGUAAAAGUAUAAGACGUGAAAAGGGAACUUUGAUGAAAACCUUGGAAAAACCUUUAUACUCAGAGAAAAUCCCAAUUGGUAUUCUUUGGUAAAAUAAGUUAGAAAACCUUUAGAAAUCUUUGGAACAUUUAUAAACCAGUUUAAAAUGUAUUUAGAUAAAACAGUAUAAGUAGGAGUAUUGAAUAAGUGAAAACCUUUUUGAAAACCCCUUUAUAGUAUCCUACUUGGUAAAAUAGUGUACAGAGUGGUAAAAUCUUGUGCAUGCGGGUUAUCAAUCACAUGUGAUUGAUAUGAUAACUGACAUGUUUAACUUGUAUUCCCCCCUAUAAAACAUGUAAAAACAUUUAAAAGGUUCAUUCAGGGGUAUGAACUCACCUGGUGUAAGUGGAUCCGACGAAGGUGCCGGUUGGGUGCUCGGUGUCAAGUAAGGACUUGGACACUCUUAAUGACCUAUUUAACAUAUGAUAACAUAUGUUCACAUAUAAUUAGUACAUUUAAUACUAAUUAAACAAGUAUACGCACCCUAAAGAGCGGAAAACACUUGGUUAAGUGUUUGGGGUGUCCCGGGUAACAUUUAAAGGCCCAAAUGGCUUAGGAAUGGAGUUUACUCUUCAAGAGUAAACUCACCUUAUGGUGUUUACGGCCCAGGGACAACUCCCCAUGAGUUUACGGCUGUAAACUGAAGGUGAGGGUUUCUAGGGUGUUUUAAGGCCUUAACUUGCUUGUGGAAUUAUUCUAGGUCCAAAUCUAAAUGGUAUGAAUGAGUUUAGGGUCUUUAAGGGCAUCAUUGGGGAGUUUACGGCCCAUGAACCACCCCCAUGGGAGUUCACAUCCGUGAACUCUUAUUCCUUGAGUUUAUUGAAGUUUCAAGACCCUAUUCCAACCCUAGGAAUUUAUAAUGAUAGUCUAAGGCCAUCUGGGGGAUAAAAACCAACAUAUUGGCAUGGUUUGGGGUGUUUACGGCCUUGACACAUGUCUGGGCCAUAAACUCCUUUUCAUCCUUCCUUUCCUUGUGUUUAAAUGAUCUAAACCCUAAAUGGUAUGCCCCUAAUUUAUGUAUUAAGUCCAAGGGUGUUUUAGGAGUGCUUUUGGAGCACUUUUGCAAGUUUAAGAGGUGUUUACGGCCUAAGCAUGUGAUUGGGCCGUAAACUCUCUUUUGUGCCCUAAAACCUUGUGUUUUGUUGUUUAAACACUCCUAGGCUAAACCCCCAACUAGUUUCUAAGCCUUUAGGGACAUUUUAGGGUCAUUUUGGCCUCUUUUUAGGGGUUUACGGCCUAAGGAGGCUCUUAGGCCGUAAACUCCAUUCUAACAGCUUAUAAGUCCGAUUUUUGGGUUUUAACAACAAUAAAGCAUGCUUAGAAUAAGUUAGGGUUGAAGGCCUUACGUUUAGGAGUCAGGAAUUGCGGUUUUGGAGUCGAAAACGAGCCUAGAGAGAGAGUAUAGAGAGAGAGGGUGGAAAAGGCUCAAAUGGAGUUUACUCCCCCUUAUAUAUGGGUGGGAGUUGGAGCUCAGUGGGAAUCUACCCAAUACUGUCGUUUAACGGGGCUUUUGGUCGCACCCAAUUUAGGGGUCGUAAUAAUUAAACUAACUUUUUUCUAAAUUACUAUGGAAAUGUAAUUUAAGUGUUUUCUUUUACUUUAUUACGACUAUAACGACAUAAAACAUAAAUAAGUAGAACAUUUAUUUAUUUGAUGACCUCUUAUUAACGGAACUUUUAUAUAGUGGAAUAUUCCGUUAAUGGUAACGGAGUAAUGUAACGGAAUAACUUUGGGUUGUCACAUCAUCCCCCCGUUAGAGGGAAUUUCGUCCCGAAAUUCAGGUCUAGGCAAGGAAGUAGGUAUGAAUGAUCAAGUAGAGGUAAGAGGGUACUUCCUAUUCUGUUCAUCCUCGCAUUCCCGAGUGAACUCUGGUCUGUGUUUGUCAUUUUAACAAACCUUCACGCACGGGAUGCGGAUUUCGUCUCUUGUAGUUAGUGGGUUCCGACUGGUGUAUCUACGACGUUAGGGUUCUCAAUGGUUUCUAUCACAACGAGUGGGGUACGAAGAGUGAUGUCGGGCAAACUGAUCAAGUCUAGGAGUGGAUCGAUCGGGUAUGAAACUUGUGGAAUAUCUGGAAGUAUUAGUGGUCUGAAAAGGGUUGGACCAAAUCUCUGUGCGUAUUCUCAGAUGGUCCUAAGCUUUCGGAAGGGUAGAGCUUUUCAGUACUUAGAACAUAGUGUAAUUCUAUGGCAAGAUCAUCACUGGCGUGAUCGCUAGUACGAAGUUCCUAACUUUCUCACUCGUACUGUAUGUGUAGUCCUCCAGGUUGGUUCUUAGGAAGCUCGGGUGGCCUUCGGUUUCGCGUUUCCUGUCAACUGGCUGUUAGAGACUUUAUGGGUCGUCGAGUGGGUUGCGUGACUAUGGUUAUCAGAUUGCUGAAGAGUGUCUAUCUCAAGCUUGUGCAAAAUGAAGUUGCACUAACGAAUCUUGAGAUACGGAAACCCUCAGGGUCGGGGAGAUAGGGUUUCCCCAGACGAGUGUUAGACUAUUUCGGGAGGUGGUUCUACUAUUUCGGCGUGAGAUAGCAUUCGUGGCACACCUAAUAGUCCAAUGACUCUCCGAGACUUUGGUUUAUUCUAGUGCGGAAAGUGCAUGCUCCUACAUAACCCCUCGACUAACACCAAGGCUGGUGUUAAGUCUAUAAUCUCUUCGGGAUCUGGGUCAUGAGGCUUAACGCAACUACUUUCGCACUUUGAUCAAGUAUUCUUGGCUGCGGAGGUUAUCCUGUGGUUCUCGGUAUCCUAGUGUUCACUUCGGAGAAUGCAUUUUAUCGUCUACAGGGUGACGACGAUUUCCUCCAUGCAAGAGGGUGGAGGAUGAUAGGCACUGUUCAUCUAAAACGGGGUGGACGAAGUGCCUGAGUAGUGCGAGCAUCUACUGCAACUAUUCUUCCGAAGGUUCUGAGUUUCUCAGUCUAGGUCAAAUCUAGUGAGUAUAGGGUCUCAUCACUCGGAACUUUAGUCUCUUUACUAACUGAGGGUGUUAGCUACUAUAUGGGCUUAGCCGGUAUGACAACAAUUUCGGAUCUUGUGAUCAUUAUAAUAGCUCAACCCGCAGUGGUUCUCUUGACUCCAGCUCCUAUUUUAUGGAAUAGGAUGAAGGGCUUUGCUAUGAGGUUCGUGGUAGAGCUCAUACUCGGCUUAACCACUAAUACUUGGUGUAUGCAAGCAGUAUAUAAUUGAGGUCGACAGGAUGUUCAGCUGUGCGACUCCACCCCAAACCUACAACCCAACGAGGAACAGGGAGUAGGGAGGAAACACACACAUUAAAUCUUUUUGAUCUCAAUUGUACACCACCUUUAUGCAUAUACCUGGUUAUAGUGGUUCUUCCUUAUGAGUUCUAAUCUCUAGGUUUACGAACCUGACGUGCGAGGUGCGAAGGGUCUUUCUGGGGAUUCUAUGAAGUAUGCUUCGGAUGGUUAUUGUCUUCUGGAGUAUCUUGCAGUGUCUUUCGCUUCGGUUUCCAUAUGACUAUGAAGGGUCGGUCAAUAGCGCGCGGUACCCUUCUCUUGGGUACUUCGGAAGGUUUGAGGUAAAAGGGACGGCUGACGGAUCGCCUUAGGUUUGAUUAUUUGUGUUAUGUUUUUAGGUUCGGAAGUACCUUUAUUUGCCGACAUGGCUACGGAGAAAGUUCUUUUUACACAGCACUAAGAAUGUACACAUGGUUGCACGAAGUCAAACCACGAUCAAUAGAGUCGUCGAAUUUGGCACACUCCGACAUGAUAUAUAAUGAAGAUCGAUAGAGUCAUGUGCCGAACAGGCACACAAGUUCUAGGCGUCUCGGGUUUCGUCCUGUGUAUCACUACCGCGGGUACUUGGACCGAUAGAGUCGACGCGGAACUAUAGAGAGUCCUAAGUGUUUCCGAAUAGAGUACCUUUUCAUGAAUGGAUUCUCACAAGGAAUUUCUAUAAUAGCCUAACAUAUACUAGUCAUGUAUAUUUAAGGUGGGGAGUUUACGGCCCAUGAACCACCCCUAUGGGAGUUCACGGCCGUGAACUCUUAUUCCUUGAGUUUAUUGAAGUUUCAAGACCCUAUUCCAACCCUAGUAAUUUAUAAUGAUAGUCUAAGGCCAUUUGGAGGAUAAAACCAACAUCUUGGCAUGGUUUGGGGUGUUUACGGCCUUGACACAUGUCUGGGCCGUAAACUCCUUUUCAUCCUUCCUUUCCUUGUGUUUAAAUGAUCUAAACCCUAAAUGGUAUGCCCCUAAUUUAUGUAUUAAGUCCAAGGGUGUUUUAGGAGUGUUUUUGGAGCACUUUUGCAAGUUUAAGAGGUGUUUACGGCCUAAGCAUGCGCUUGGGCCAUAAACUCUCUUUUGUGCCCUAAAACCUUGUGUUUUGUUAUUUAAACACUCCUAGGCUAAACCCCCAACUAGUUUCCAAGCCUUUAGGGACAUUUUAGGGUCAUUUUGGCCUCUUUUUAGGGGUUUACGGCCUAAGGAGGCUCUUAGGACGUAAACUCCAUUCUAACAGCUUCUAAGUCCGAUUUUUGGGUUUUAACAACAAUAAAACAUGCUUAGAAUAAGUUAGGGUUGAAGGCCUUAAGUUUAGGAAUCGGGAAUCGCGGUUUUGGAGUCGAAAACGAGCCUAGAGAGAGAGUAUAGAGAGAGAGAGGGUGGAAAAGGCUCAAAUGGAGUUUACUCCCCCUUAUAUAUGGGUGGGAGUUGGAGCUCAGUGGGAAUCUACCCAAUACUGUCGUUUAACGAGGCUUUUGGUCGUACCCGAUUUAGGGGUCGUAAUAAUAAAACUAACUUUUUUCUAAAUUACUAUGGAAAUGUAAUUUAAGUGUUUUCUUUUACUUUAUUAUGACUAUAACGACAUAAAACAUAAAUAAAUAGAACAUUUAUUUAUUUGACGACCUCUUAUUAACGGAACUUUUAUACAGUGGAACAUUCCGUUAACGGUAACGGGGUAAUGUAACGCAAUAACUUUGGGUUGUCACAGAGAGUAUUAGUCCCUUAAGCAUUUACAAUUUGUAUAUAUUAUGUGGUUCGAUAUACUUAGUUCACAAUAAACAUUGCUCUGAUACCAAUCUGUCAUACCCCCAAACCGGAACGGCGGAAACAUUUGGGGGCGGAUGACUUCAUGUGGUAACGUAACAAAUGAAUACAUAGUAAAGAAAGCAAUUUAACCAUCAUAUAUAUAAUUGAAAGUUUACAUUGUUAAAAGAUACAUGUUCAAAACCAAUUACAAUAUGAUGCCAAAAUAUGAAUUUAAACUGGCGCCGCAGCGUCCCUUCUUCAAAAGUUGUUUGUUACCUGUAAUUACUGAAUCCCUAGGACAUACAAAUAGUUUUGAAAGAGUAGAUCAGCAGUUAAGCUGGUGAGUUUCAUAAGUAUUAAAUGACAAUGUUUGUAUGAAAUGAAAUGUUUUGUUUUUGUUUGUUUGUUCCUAGAAAAUCCCAUAUUUUCUACUAGCCUGAAUGUAGCCUUCUAUCAAGACCAAUGUUUGUUUCUAGAAAAUUUAUGUACGUAUAAAAUUUUGCCAAUACGUCUGAAAAACCCCGUAAAUCAAUGUAUUUUUAAUACUCCAUGUGAGUUUUAUAACCAUGCUAUUGACUAGAAAUGCCUAUACACAACGUUCUUCAGGCGUUGGAAUGUUCUGACGUUUGUCACCCCAAAUGGUGUACUGUAGCUAACAGUCAGGGCGCGGGGUUGUCAAUCCCGUAUAGAUCUAUACACAAACACCAUGCUCCCCCUCCAAGGGAUUCUGGUAUAUAAUACAGGACUUGAAAUGUGUACUCGAACGUACGUGAAGUUAAUGUCUCACAAAACUUAGUAUAAAACAGAUUUACGUGUGAAAAUGUUCGUUUGUUCUUGUAUGUGAAAGAAACUUCUUGAAAUAGUGUUUCUAGUAUGUAAAAGUUCGUGAUGUUCUCGUAAAACUAUACCUAUUAUAGUUUUCUAAAAGUGUGUCUCGUUUGUAUAGUAAUCCCUAGUGAAAUGCUCACUUGUUAUGAAAAGUAUAAUUGUUGUAGUGCCUAAGAUGGACACAUAUACAUACAGUAUAAGCAGAGUGUUUGAUUUAUACAUAUAUAACAACAUUUUUCAUUUCCAAAGAUAUGAUGUUAUCGUGAUAUAUUUUGCAUACGAAAGUUUCCCUAUAAUAGUUAUAAAUCACAUACGAUUCCGUUGAUAAAAAGUGUAUAAUGAAACUUUAUAUAACACACGAUAAUAAUCGUGUGUUUUACUUGUAUUCCCCCCUUAAAAGCAUAUAAAAGCAUUUAUAAAACAUUUAAAAGUGUGGAUUAUAAGGGUAUGAACUCACUUGAAAGAUCGAAAAAGGUGAGAUGAAAUCCGAGCAGAAAUUCGACUCGAGAAAGCGGAUUUUCUCGGGAUUCUCGGGAAUCUCGGGAGCACAAACGACCUUCGGGACUUGAGCAAGGAAAUCGGGGCUUCGGGGUAGCACGGGCACAGAAAACGAGGCAAUAACGCAAGAAAGUUGAGAGAAAUUGAGCCCUUUCUUCGGAACGCUCGCAUCCCUUUUAUAAGGGGUGGGAACCGCCUCGGUACGCUAGGCGUACGCGUGCGUAUGCGUGACCUCCUCCUCGACUGCCUCGGAGCUUCGGAUGGGACGAGGCAUAGCCUCGCAUAGGGGCGACGUGGACGAUCCGAGGCCUAGUCCUCGAGUACGCUGGGCGUAACUCGGAUCGACCUGGUGACUCAUCCUUCGGAUAAUGUCGAGAUUAAAUAAUAAAAUUUAUAUUUUAUUUAUUUAAUAAACUUCAAAAAUUCAUAUCUUCUUCAUACGAACUCCGUUUUCGACGUUCUUUAUAUCCACGCGUAGGUGAGACUACGCUCUACAACUGUCGUUUAGAUUCCGUCGGCAAAUUUUGAAAUUAUUUUUAUUAUUUAUUUUUAAAAGGUCGCGGAAAGAAAAUUUCGUUAGAAAUUUAUAACUUCAUUAUCUAACGUCUGUUUUUGCCAGACUUUUUACCUAGUAAUACCAUUGUCGAGACCUUCGAUUCUCAUUUAGGUCAUUCCGGCCAAAAGUCGCUCGAUCUCCGAUUCGAGUUUUUAGAUGUCUGUCGCUAAGCCGAACUUGGAAAAAUCAUAACUUCAUUAUACGAAGUCAGAUUUGGGCGUUCUUUUUACGUACGAUCACGGUUUAACGUCAUCUAACAUAGUAGGUAAUAAAUUUGAGAUUUUUGGACAUUUUAUUUUCGAAGUUAAUUUCAUUAUAUCAAAAGUGGUUACAAUACUUGACUUUUUAGGUCAUUACAUAGAGUUGAAAUAUCGGGUUGUCACAGCUGAGCCUUUGGGCUUGAAAAAAGAAAAUAAAUAGCUUAUCUUGGGCCAUUGCUUGAUAUUUUUCGAAACCGUGGGUCCAUUUAGUAAGUUUUCGGUCCAUUAGGCUUUUAGGAUGGUUUACGGCCCAAUAAGCAUAAAAGAAUGGGUUUUAUGGCCCAUUAAGGUUAAUUAAAUUAUUUAUGGCCCAACAAGGCUCAUUAGGGUUAGGAUGAAUCAUUCUAGACCCAAAUUGCCCAAAAUGUUAUAAAUUUAUGAAUUGGGUCCAAUAACAGAGUCCUAGUCCAUAAAGAACCUGAACCGGGAUUUCUAAGGUUUCCAACCCUUAGUUGAACAUGUGAGAUGUAUUUGAAUAAGCACCGAGUAGAAGUUAUUAUACUAGGUGAAUGAUUACAUGAGAGUGGAAUUUCCAAGUAAAAAUGCCAGUUGUGACAUCAUCCCCCCGUUAGAGGGAAUUUCGUCCCGAAAUUCCUUUGAAUGAUAGGGUCAUGAAUGAGAGAAUAGGUGAGGGUACUUCUGCUUCAUUUGGUUUUCGCAUUCCCAUGUGAAUUCCGGUCCACGCUUAGCGUUCCAUCGAAUCUUAACAAUCGGAAUGCGGCUCUGCUUCGUACACUUCACUUCUCUAUUCAUUAUCUUGACUGGUUCUUCGACGAAUAGAAGAUUCUCGUUUAUUUCAAUAUCUUCUAAAGGAAUGAUAAGAGUUUCAUCAGAUAAGUACUUCUUCAAGUUCGAGGUGUGGAACAUGGGGUGUACCUUGCUGAGCUUAGCAGGAAGCUGCAACUUAUAAGCCACUGGACCAAUUCGGCAAGAAUCUCGAAUGGUCCAAUAUAGCGCGGGUUCAGUUUUUCCCCGUUUCCCAAAAUGGAUCAUCCAUUUCUAGGGAGAGACCUUCAAUAGGACCUGAUCUCCGACUUGAAAUUCUAGAGAUUUUCGUCGAUUGUCCGCAUAGCUCUUUUGUCGGUCUCGCGAUGUUUGAAGUCGGGCUUUGAUUUUGGAUUAUUUUUUUGGUAUUCUCACAGAUGAUUUCUGGUCCUAUGAGAGUGCUGUCUGGUGAUCGUCCUUUUGCUAGUUGGGUGUCACUCACCUCAGUCCAACAUAGAGGCGAUUUACAUUUACGACCAUAAAGAGCCUCGAAAGGAGCUACCUUGAUGCUCGUGUGAUAGUGGUUGUUGUAUGAGAAUUCAAUCAAGGGAAAAUGGGUAUCCCAUGAAUUGACGAAAUCAAUCACACAGGUUCGGAGCAUGUCUUCGAGUGUUCGAAUGGCCCGUUCACUUUGGCUAUUGGUUUGAGGGUGGUAAGCAGUGCUCAUGUCUAGCUGUAUUCCCAUAGCCUUCUAGAGUGACUGUCAAAAUCGUGAGGUAAAUCUACUAUCCCGAUCCGAGAUUAUAGACACUGACACUCCAUGGAGUCUCACGAUCUCUUUGAUAUAGAUUCGUGUUAAUCUUUCCAGUUUGUAUAAUUCUUUUAUUGGAAGGAAAUGAGCAGAUUUGAUUAACCUAUCGACGAUCACCCUGUUAGUGCUCAAUCCAACUCUUGUAAUAAUAAGCUGCAUCUUUUUGUCUUUGAGAGUUUUAUCCAAUCCAUGCAGUGCUUCUUUCGCGAUAUUCUCCGGAUUUGAUGUCUCCAAAGUCGGUCGUAGGUGUUAACAAUGUUUGUUCUUGUUUCAUGAGCAGACGAGUAUGUUAUUGAUGAACAUAAUUAAAAGGCUGACUAGGAAUGGUUGGGAAAACUCUGUUAGUAGGGUUCAUGAAUACCGUGGGAGCAUUCGUUAGACCGAAGGGUAUCACAACGAAUUUGAAAUGGUCGCGAUGAGUUCGGAAAGAAGUUUUUGGAAUGUCGUCUUCUUGUACUCGAAGUUGAUGAUAACCGGUUCUUAGAUCUAUUUUAGAGAAGUAACUAACUCCUUGGAGCUGGCCAAAUAGGUCGUCCAUCCGAGGGAGUGAGUAUCGGUUUUUGAUAGUGAGCUUAUUCAAUUUCCUAAAAUCGAUGCACAUUCUGAAGGAUCCGUGUUCUUGACGAGAAAGACCGGAGCUUCCCAAGAUGAGAAGCUUGGUUCGAUGAAUUCUUUGCUCAAAUUUUUUCUUAAUUGACUGGUUACCUCCCGAAUUUUGGCGGAAGCUAACCUAUAGGGUGAAUUGGCAAUUGACGUCGCUCUCGGUAUGAGGUCGAUUAGAAACUCGACCUGUCUCUUUUGGGAAUUCCCGGAAGGUCUUCAGGAAAUACAUCCGGAAAAUCGCAUGCUACUGGAAUACCUUGUAUGCUUACUUCUUCCUUGGUCUUGUCCACAACAUGAACGAGGAAAACGUAGUUCUUAUGGUGCAGGCACUUUGAUUCCUUGAUGCACGAGAUAGGACGAGGAUUGACACCAAGUUUAUCACCAUGGAUUAUUAGAUUUUCAUGAUUGGGAAGGUGAAGGCAAACAACCUUCUCGUGACACAUAGUAUCAGCAUGGUGGGGGCUUAACCUAACCAUGCCGAUUAUCACAUGAAAACUCCUAAUAUUUACUGGCAUUAAAUUUUAUUUGAAAUGAAUGGUUGUUUAGUGUUAAGGUAUACCCUACAUAAAUAUCUUUGGUUGAUUCGGUUUUCCCAUUAGUCAUCUCCACCGUUAGGGCUUAGUUUAGACUCUGGGGUUGUUGUUUUAGUAAGUGCUCGAAUUUGUUACCAACGAAGCUUCGCUCAACUUCACUAUUGAAUAAGAGGUAAGCAAAAGAGUUGUUAAGUGGGAACAUACCAGUAACAACUGUUGGGUCUUGGACUGCUUCUCCUUGACCCAAGGUCAGGACCAUUUCUGAUCCUUUUGCUCCUUGAUUGUUAGCCUUGGGGCAAUUGCGCUUGAAGUGACCAGUUCCUCCACACCCAUAGCAGGUGUAACCGGUCUCAUCAUUGGUGUUGUUGUUAAGGUUGUUGCGAUUGUUGUUGUUUUCGUUUGGCUGACGAUUCUGUUGUGGAUAAGUUCUACAAUAUUUGGUAGUGUGAUUCUUUUGGUUGCAUUUCUUACAAUGCAGCUCCCGCCAGGCUCCCUUAUGAUGGAAAUCGCACUGGUUGCAUUUUGGAAGGCUUCUAGCAUAUGGUCUCGUGGCUGUUGGUGUAAUAGGGGUCAUGGUCGCAUGAACAACAACAACAUGUUGGUUCUUUGAGAACCCUUGAGUGGGUUGUCUCUUUCUCUUACUUCCAGACUUCUCCUUCCUGCUCUUAAGCUUGGGAUUUGGAGUUCCUUGAUAAGCUGUCACUUGUUGGUUUCCAAGUUCCUUCCCUCGGCUGGAGUUUUCGAUGCUAUUUCCACCUUUAUUGGUGUUGUUUGCAUUGAGUUGUGCUAUAGUAGCGGUUACUACCGCUGUUACAGUAGCUUGGAAUGUAGCGAAGUCCAUCCGUAUGAUUGGUGUCUUACGGGCAUGCUUGUUAUCUUUGUGGGAUGACAUUUUCUUGCUGCACGUUGAUAAGCCAGGUCAUAAGUAAUGAUCGCCAUUCCUAGUUGUACUCUAUAACUUUUGCAUCUUGUUAUAUAAUUCUCACUGCUUCCAUCUACAUCCCUAUGAUGUAUUUACGGUAGUAGGUAAUCGCAGAUUUGGCACGAUCGUUACGGCUAUCCUUAGAGUAUAUGGGUUGUUUCAGUUUCGAGAUCCUUAAGAAUCUAGCGGUUUUGAGGGUUCGGUUGUGCAUAUAAUUGAGUUUAUGUAGUAACCUGAAAUAAAGAUAGCACAUAAUUGUUCCAUUGGUAAGUACCAUCUUAGUACACGAAAGAGAGUCAUAUCGGAUAGUAGGGGGGAAAAAGAAAAGGCUAAUCCUAAUUGUGGCGGAAAGUGUCUGGUGGUGGUGCUGAUGAAGUGGAUGCACCUCGGAGAUGAGCUACUUGUUGCUUGGUAUCUCGUAGUCGUACCUCUCAAACUAACUGUCUCGCUCGGGAGUCUCCGUUCACUUCUUGUGUCUGUCUCUCAACUCUCUCUAUAGCAAACCGCAUUUGUUCCGUUUGAUUUGGGGUAUCCUGAGCUUGGUUAUCAAUACCUCGGGUGCGCCGGACCAUGACUGGGAGGGCCCGGUCAGCUGGUCCUCUAUGACUACGAUCGAAGAGACCUCGGUUCCUACCAUAGUGUGGUCGUAUCCCCUGUUGGUGACUCUAUCUCCAAAUAUCGUGUGCCCAAGGGGGCAUGGGGCCAUCGGGGCCCACACGAUAAGUCGGUACUCUAGCCCUACAUGGAGGAUUGAUGACAUCGGAUUCUGCAUCCGAGUCAUCAUCAUUGCCCUCGGGCUCUUCCUCUUCGAGGUCCACUAUUGACUCGGCAUGUUCAUCUGCAAGUUCUACUUCGUGUUCCUCCUCUGGUUCUUCCUCUGAGUCGCCUUCUGGGUCUUCCUCUGGGCCAAGCCACCCUGUUAUUCCCUAACUAGGGAGAUAGGGGUUUCCUGGCUAAUAAUACUCGUCUAUCGUGUAUUGCACGAAGGGGUAUAAACACCAGAAACAGAUAGCAUACCAAUUACUUCUAUAGUAAUUAAAUUUUGUUUAGGUUUGGUUCUAUAAGCUCUUUGGAUAAUUAAAUGGUAAGUUUUUAAUUCAUUGUCCAUCAUGAUUACUCCCGAACACAUGUUGGUCAUAUUUUGAAUAAAUGUAGUUGAUCAGGCUACAUUCAUCCCCUAAUACGACUACAUAACCGCCCGAGUUUAAUAGCGAUGUUCAAAUCCUCCAAAGAAUUUUACUGUUCUUGUCGUGCUAUUAUUCUAAAAUGCACACAAAGGUAUGUAUUUUAAAUUAUUAUGUUCAGAGUUGUUUAGUCUCAUUGUAUUUAUAGUUGCAUAUCCUGUAUGAUUAGAUAUGCUAGUUCACUAUAAACAAUGUUCUGAUACCAAUCUGUCACACCCCCGAACCAGACGGCGGAAACGUCUGCGGGAGUGUGCGUGACUUCAUCUUGAAAUAUCAUUACAGUGAAUAUAAUUGAAACAUAACAUCAUCAUCAUCACAGAUGUAAUAUAACAACAUUCAAUGUUUACAUCGAGUAUUGUAUUUGAAUAUUACAUGCCAAAAUAAUAAGAGUAUGAUGAAACAAAAUAUAACACAAUAUCCAUUAGUGUGUUUCGUUCAUCCUGCUUCAACGGUUUCCUGAGAAUACAAGUUAUUUUGAAAACGAUCAACAUAAAAUGUUGGUGAGUUCAUAAGCAUGUUUGUGAAAAUGAUUUGUAUAAUUUUGAAACCACCAGAAAAUCCUAUAUUUUCUGCAAACUAUUUAGUAUGUUUGUGUUAGAUCUUGUAUUAAUGCAUGUAUGUUUUUGAUUAUUUUACUAAAAGGGUAAAGAGAAUGUAGAGAGAAUGUAAGGAGCAUGUAAAGAUAAUGUUCCCAGACAACCUGAUGUUGCAUGUAAAAGAGAAAACUGCCAUACCAACCCCCGAGGUUGAGUACCAGUACGAGUAUGUUUCCGAGUAAUCCAAGAGAAAAGAGAAUGGUCUUCUGUAAACAUCAUAACGUUAAUUCCUCUAAGUGAGUUGUCAUAACCAUACUAAAUAAUGACAAUUUCGCCGGUCUUGGCGUUGUUGGACGCCGGUUUUGAUUUUUGAUUAUAAGGUUUUCGUCACCCUAGACUGAGUUAGUCUAACUGUAGCGAACAGCUCAGGUGCGGGGUGUCAUCCCCGUAUAGAUCUAUACACAAAUCUUCGCUCUCCUUCUAAGAGACUCUGGUUAUAAGUACAUGCUACGAUCGUACACUUAAUAGAUGCCAACCGAUAAAAUUCACUAGAUCCUUAAUCGAUUUUACACCAAGAAAGGUAUAAUCUCAUUCCAGGCCCAAUGAACCAUGUAAGUGAACCACUAAGGCAUCGCUAAACAUGUAAAUCAUUUAAAGGCCCAAAUUGGAAUGAAAUUAUAUAACAUGGGNAAGACUGACUUGUCUUAUACAUACAUAUAUAUACAUAUAUAUAUAUAUAUAUAUAUUUAUAUGAAAGGACAAUUAAGGCCCAUUUCACAUGUAAGGUAUUUACAGACCCAAAUAGCACACAAAUUGUAUCUAAGGUCCGUUGCACAUGUUAAUGGGUCAAUGAGGCCCAAUAAACAUAUAAAUAGUAUACAAGACCUAUGACGCAUAAAAAUGGACCACUAAGGCCCAAUAACCUAGAAAAUGAUCAAAUUAAUUCGUUUGUUAAUUUAUCGUUGGUUUUGGUUCAAGUAUUUACUAAAAUCGCAUAAAAGCCCACUUUUUGUAAAAAUGACGUUCUUGGCCCAAUAAGCCAAAAAUUUACAAUUAAGGCCCAAUUUUUGUAAGAAAAACACUUUAGUCUCCAUUUUGUUCAAAACCUGUGUUGAUGACUAGUUUGUGGUAAAAAUAACAUUUUAAACCCAUUUUUGUCAAAAAUAUAAUUUUUGGCUUGAUUUUUGUGAAAACACACAUUUUUGGUUUUGGGUUUUUCUGAUCUAGUUGUUGGAAAAUUCGUAGAAAAAUCAUCGUAAUUCGAAAUUUGGAUCCGUAUAUUCUGGAAGUUUUUUGUCUUCUUAGUUCACAAUUUUUCUCAUAAUUUUUGAUACCCUCAAACUAGUGUGAAAUUACUCACCUUUACAGGUUGGUCCGAAAUUAUUUCAAAUAUGAUAGGCAGUUUUGUAAAAUUCGCCAACAAUUAUAGAAAAAUCGUAUGAAAACGUGAGAGUAGUCAUUUUAAAGGUAUAAACCUGAAAUUUGAGCAUGUAAAACAGUUUUGAAAAAUAUUACCAUUAAGGGGGUCAAAACAGUUCGAGAUUGGCCUAAAACGUUUCUAUCAAAAGCUGAUUUUUGAGUAUAAGUUAUUCAUGUUUGUUCACAACACUUGUUUUUGCUAUUUUAAGUGUAUAAAUCCCAGAUCUACAAGUUUAUAUGUAUUAUAUGUGAUAACACAUAUUUUUAUCAAGGUUCAUAUGAAGAUCCAAGUGGUAAACUCCAUAUUCUUAAACUUAUGAAGUAAGCAACACAUAAUCACCAAAUGAUUCAAGAAAACCCCCAUAAUCAUGCAUAUACACAUAGAUCUACACAAAUCAACUUGUAUUCUCCCCCAAAAACAAGUAAAAACCGAAAAAAAUGGGGUAUGAACUCACCUUGGGAUGAUGGAUCGGUUUUGGUGAAGAAGUGGAAGAAGAUUUUUGAUCCUAACAAGCUUUCUUGAGUAGAUCUUGAACUUAAAUGGUUCUAAGAACAUGAUCCACAAAAUAUGGGUGUAAGAGGAGAUUUUUGAAUAGAUCAAGAGGUUAAAUCAUAGAUCUAAGCAAAAACUUACCAAAGAGUGAUGACUUUUUGGUGGUAAACCUUCUUGAAAUUGCUCUAAAUCUCGAAAAACUUAGAAGCAAGUAGGGAUGUUGUUCAGAGAUUUGGAGGUGUUUGAAAGAAAGUGUGUGUGUAUGUGUUUGGGGCUUUCGGCCGACAAGAAAAAGAAGGGAGAGAAGAAAGAGAGUGAGGUGAUGGAAGUUCUUGAUGCAUGAGAUUUCUUGCAUGGAAUACCACAAUGUAAUAAGUAUGUGUCUAAUUCUCCUUAAUUCCUUUUUUUUUUUAAUAUAUGUUUAUAUAUACAUGGGCUGAGCCUUUAGGCUUGAAAAAAGAAAAUAAAUAGCUUAUCUUGGGCCAUUGCUUGAUCUUGUUCGAAACCAUGGGUCCAUUAAGUAGGUUUUCAGUCCAUUAGGCUUUUAGGAUGGUUUACGGCUCAAUAAGCAUAAAAGAAAGGGUUUUAUGGCCCAUUAAGGUUAAUUAAAUAAUUUAUGGCCCAACAAGGCUCAUUAGGGUUAGGAUGAAUCAUUAUAGACCCAAAUCGGCCAAAAUGUUAUAAAUUUAUGAAUUGGGUCCAAUAAGAGAGUCCUAGUCCAUAAAGAACCUGAACCGGGAUUUCUAAGGUUUCCAACCCUUAGUUGAACAUGUGAGAUGUAUUUGAAUGAGCACCGAGUACAAGUUAUUAUACUAGGUGAAUGAUUACAUGAGAGUGGAAUUUCCUAGUAAAAAUGCCAGUUGUGACAUGGAUGGUCUAUUAAAGGAAAUGAUUUAAGGAGGGACACAUGGAAUGAGAAGAAUGGAGAAAGUCAUUAUUUAUGGAGAGAGAGAGAGAGAGAGAGAGAGAGAGAGAGAGAGAGAGAGAGAGNNNNNNNNNNNNNNNNNNNNNNNNNNNNNNNNNNNNNNNNNNNNNNNNNNNNNNNNNNNNNNNNNNNNNNNNNNNNNNNNNNNNNNNNNNNNNNNNNNNGAGAGAGAGAGAGAGAGAGAGAGAGAGAGAGAGAGAGUUGGUAUUUAGGCAUGAUGUCACAUGUCUAGAAUUUUCUUUUGAAUCAUUGUUCUUCGGAUUUUAAGCUUGGGCAAAAUCAUAGUUUGAAAUUUUGAUUGUUAUGAAUCAUUUUUCUUCAUUUGUCUUCAAUUAAUACAUAAAUCUUGUUUUUUUUUUUUUUCAUUUUAUUGUUCCAUUUUUUAACUAAAAUUUCGGAUUGUCCGUUUCUAUCAAUUUGGUUCCAUUGUCGGAUUACCAUCCGACAUCAUGUUCUCCAUUGUUCAACCAACUUAACCCUAAGUCAACACUCCCCUCUAAUCUCGCAUCGAUUCCUAGGAUAAACAAAUCGAACAUUUCUCCACACAUAUCUAGGAUAUGUCCUCCACAGUUCUUCCAUGAAAGACCUCCUUCAAGAGCUCCUUAAAUCUAUGGAGGAGAUGAUUUAAGGACAUCCCAAACCUCCAGGAAAAAGCCCCAUGACCGACCUUAAUGAUGAACAAUAAGAACUCACGAGCCCCACUAAAUCAUACCUUCCCGAUUCCUCUAACUGCCAACCUCCCCACAUCGUCUCUCUCGUCCAUCUAUACUGAACUGGCACUUAUAUCGUCUCCUUCUUAAAAAAUAAUAUUCUGAUUUUUUAUAGGAAUGGAUCCAAAAGGUUGGUCGAGCAAAUUCAAGCUCUACUUCCUGGUUCAGCAGACUUCUCCGCUACAAAAUCUCUAUCUCUCUCAAAUAUGUAUAAAUGGUGCUGCACUGGUACACUAACUUACUGGUCAAACAUCCAACGACUACAUGAGAACAAUUUCGAACUAAGCUUCUAAAUUGAUUCAGUGGAACAAAAAAUUUCAUCGCACAUAAAGUUCUAGGUUCAUUGUUCCAAGACGACGAUGUAGAAUAAUGGGUUGAAGACUUUAAGGAUCUCUUCGCACUAAUCCCUAAUCAGCCAGCAGAACCAUCAAUUGGUUGGUUUCUUCAAGGAUUGAAGCUAGAAAUUUGUAAUUGGGUUCGAACCCUUAAUCCAUCAACUUGUGAUCAAGCUAUGGAAUACAUUCACAACACUGGAGUAGCCAUUGGAAACUACAAUGGAAAAUCAUUUCUAAGAAACGAUUUGGUAACCCUACUUCGGGCUUCUCUUAUUCCAAGGGUACUUUCCGCCCUAACAGGCUCACUCCCUCCCACCUUACACAAACUAGCCUACUACUAACUACCCACUUCAUGUGGGCCUCCGACCCAACACGUUUCCCUUUCCAAAGAAGUGAACCUGCUUCUAAAAGAUCAAGGUACCCAACACCUUACUAAACUCGAAUGGGAGGAUCGUCAUCAUAAUGGUUUAUUAUUUAGUUGUGGUUUGUGAUAUAAUACCCAACACAAAUGCACCGACGAUGGCCUUCAUGUUCUUUUGUUGGACGAUGAUGAAGAUAUUAACAACUAGGAGGAAAUUUUUCGAGUUAAUAAGUCUAUCACUAAUGAAGAAAAACUCAACAAAAAGUGUAAAAUACUUGAACCUUAUGGUCUUUAUCUUCUACUCCAACACUUCCACUGAACACAAUCAAAUUUUCCAACAAUAUUUUGGGUAUCUAUUCUCUUUUUUGUUGACUAUAUAGCCUCCUACAAUUUUUUCUCUCAAAAUUUAGUUGUUACUCUGGGCAUAAUGCACCCCUUUUAUCGAUUUGAUAUCAAAAUGGGGAAGAAUGUCUUGUAUGGAUGACCGAUCAGUGUCAGAAUAUUCCUUCCAGUUUGGAUCCUUUUCUUGCAAAUUUACGAUUUAGGGAACCUUGACAUGAUUUUAGGUAUCGUAUGGCUACACACUAACACCCAUAAAAUCCAUUUUUUGCAUAAUUAUGUUCUCUUGCAUCUCCAAUGCUUCACUCCACCUUUCGAACAAUUCUCCACCCUUUAGACUUGCAUUGAUGACUAGUUAGAAUGCUAACCUACAUCCUUGUUCAACCUGAUUUGGAUCCAACAUAUAUUGACCAACAAGAGCACCCUCUUUCUACUUUUACCUCUCUUUUUCAAACUCAUACUGCCUUCCACCAUAAUGUUCGAUUCAACACACCAUUAAUGUGAUCGACGGUCAUGAUCCUGUUGCUUUCGUCCAUAUAGAUACCAACACAUCGACAAAAGACGAGAUACAAAACAAGUCCUCAAAAGGCUUGAUCAAGGCAUCAUCCUAAGUCAAAGCUCUUUUGCAAACCUUAUAAUUCUCGUUUAAAAGGAUUCUUCCUGGAGAUUAUGUAUCAACCACAAAGCCCUCUACCGUUCCACUAUCCUUGAAAAACAUAUAGUUCCAAUUGUUGAGGAAUUGCUUGAUGAGAUUCAUGACAAUAAUAAUUUUCCAAGAUCGAUUUAAAAUAUGGCUUUUACCAACUGGCUUUUUACAAAGUAUGUGUUCAUGAAUAUGAUAUCAAGAAAACUACUUUUCGAACCCAUAAUGGUCUUUACGAAUUUAUCAUAAUGUCAUUUGACUUUACAAAUGCCUUAGCAACUCAAUUGGGUUGGUGGAACAGUUAGAGGCUUUCUUUUAUUUUCCUUUUUAUUUUUAAUCAUUUUGAGCAACUAAACAAUGUUUAAGUUUCCAAUGGGAAUACUCUUACUAGUUUCCAUGCUCUCAUGACCAAUGUAUGUCGUGCUCUUCUACGAAAGCACGUACUUCGUUUUUUGACAAUAUAUUCAUCUACAACCACACUUAGGAUCUCAAGCUUCUUAAUAUAGUUAUGUCACACUAACUAUCCGUGAACCAAAAAAGAAAUAGUCUUGAACUUCUUUCAAUUGAUUAUAUUGGACAUGUCAUACACGAAUAUACCAGUAUGUAUGAAUCCAUACAAAAUCGAUUAUGUUGUCAACUAGCCCAUCUCUAGAACCAUUAGGGAGUAUGAAGUUUCUUGGUCUCAUUGGACAUUACGUGAAGUUUAUUUAGGGGUAUGGAAAAAUUGCUAGAACUCUUGCCAACUUCACAAAAAUAAAAGAUGGAUUUCUUCAUCCCAAACGGCAUUUGGGGAUCUAAAAUAGGCCAUGAUCACAACCUGUUCUUGCACUUCCGAACUUUUCUCUACCGUUUGAAAUGAGUGUGACGCAUCGGGAUAAGGACUUGUCAUAACUUUGAUGUGAUUAAAAUGUCCCAUUCUUCGGUAAAGCUUUUUCAGACCACAACCUUUAUAAAUUCUUCUACGAUAGAGCUCAUGGCUCUAGUUCUCGCAAUUCAAAAGUAUUGUCCGAAUUUACUAGGUAGUCCUUUUACCAUUUCCACAUAAAAAUCUUGAAGCUCCUACUAUAACAACACAUUGCAAAAACCGAUCAACAUAAUUAGGUAGCUAACCUCAUAGGCUACCACUUUUAUAACUAAUAUGUGACAACUGUCAAUUCUGGAUCAAACAAAGUCAACAAGUGUACCAAGUCAACUCGACUAGUAUUAGGAAUUUGGGAUAAGUAUAAUGUUCAUAAUGUUCCUAAUGUACAACUUACAAAUAUUAAUACAAAGUACGUCGCUUUUCAUCAAUUAUUGAAUAAAAAUCCUAUUUAGGGUUAACAACGCAAAAUUCGAUAAUUCAAGUAUAUAUUAUUUGGGCAAAAAUAAUAUUCAUAACAGAAUGUGCUAAUAUCUUUGAUGAUAUUGAGGUUUUUAUAAUAAUAUAAAUUUUUAUGAUUUAAACUAAGUAAUUAUACAUUAUUUUACCACACUUUUUAUAAAAUAUCACUCUUUUUAUAAAAACAAUACCAACAUUUUAUAAAAAAUAAGAGGGUUGACUUUGCCCAUAACUAGACAAGACUUGCCUCAUCAUUUCUAACAAAAUCUUUACCCAACAAACAACCAAGUUUUAGACAACAUAUAACCAUGCAUGCCCACCUCACCCCACCCCUACCCACUACCCUCCCUCUCUCUUUUAUGUUGCGGUCGAAAGACCCUUCACCCACAUCAUCAUCUUCAUUUUCACCUCUUUCUCUCAAGAAAAAACUUCAAUCCUCCAUAUAUUCAUUCUUCCAAGUUGGUUCUUAAGAGUUUGGUAAGUAUUUCCUUCAUAAUCUUAUGAUUCUACACACAUGUAAACUAGUUUCAAUCCAUUUACACACAUUAUCAUGUGUUAUUAUCCAUAGGGUUUUCAAAUCUUCAAGUGUUCUUCAAGAGUCUUCGAGUGUUCUAAGCUUGAAAACAUUCAUCUUCAUCUCUUUAUCCAACCACAAACACACUCAAGGUGAGUUCAUACCUUCUAGUAACUAUUAAUAACCAUAUUUCAUGCAAAUAAUACUUUAUAUACAACAUAGAGAUGAAGCAUGCAUAACAAAUUGUAUAAUUAUACAAUUUGUUAUGCAUGCUUCAUCUCUAUGUUGUAUAUAAAGUAUUAUUUGCAUGAAAUAUGGUUAUUAAUAGUUACUAGAAAAUUUAUAUGUGGUAUGUUAGUUUGAGAUACAAAACUAAGAAAAACAAAUAUAAUCAUGCUAUAUGUUCUUAAGAAAAAGUUAUAACCACAAAGCUAUAAAUACUAGGAUUUUUAUGAACAAAAUAUGACUUUUCUAGAAAAAAUGGUUAUAACCUAGUUAUUACACCAUUUUUUAGGAUGUAAACCAAAAUAUGUUAUUUGUGACAUAUGUCUUGAAACUAGUCAACAAUAUCAAAGAUUUAGUUUUACAAAAAGAAAACUUAAAAAUCUAUCAUUUUAUGUAAAAGUGGGUUUUCUAAAAAAAAUGGUCAUAACUAGAUUAUGACACCAUUUUUGUGGGUUUUGACCAAAAAUAUGUUGUUUUAAACAUAUAAAGACAACUUGACUUAAAGAUCCCCAAAAUAUAAAAAUAAGUUUUACAAAGUUAUAUUUCACUAUUUAGUGGCUAUGUCAUGCUAAAUGUUCAUAUAUUUGUGCUAGAUGUAAGCUAUAUGGUAUAAACUUUUAACAAAAACAUCUAAACAUGUUAACUUAUAUGCAUUUAUAUAUAUGAAUAAAUAUAUGGACACAACAAAACGUUUAUAAUAAACUAUAAUUGUAUAGUUUAUGGGUCAUUAACAUUAUUUUAUCAUUUUGGAUGAAACAAUAUGGAAAAGUAAUACUUCCACUUGCAAAAGUGUUUUCAAUACGCCUGAAGAACGUCGCAGCAUGCCAACUAGUCUUAGCAUGGUUGUAAUAACUCACAUGGGGUAUUAACAAUACAUUUGGUUUAAGGGGCUAACAAAUCUUCGAAUGGUUUUAUAUAAUAAUAAAACUACAUGAUACGAUUUUCCAGUACAAUAAUACUUACAUUUUUUGUCUUAGGGUUUAAGACUUACAACUCACUUGUAAAAGGUGGUGAAUGAGUACACGGGGAGUAUGUGAUUGUACGCUCAACGUACUCAUAUGCAUUUGACGAGGAAGCCACCUAGUACGCUGGGCGUACUAGGCCCAGAGUGAAAACCCUAAUUUAGGGUGAGACCCCUAUUUAAAGGAUAUGAUGGCCUCAUUCCUGGCCACCAUUCUCAGACAACAACCCUCCUAAACCCUAGUUUUUGUUCUUAGAGUUUAUGAGUGCAUUUGAGAUCCUUGAGAGUAUUCUUGUGUUUCUUUGGAGUGAAGAAUGAGCCUUGAAGAAGGAGUGGGAUUCCAGGCCUUGGAUCUGAGCUUAUGUGAGUGUGGAGCUUCAUCUUGAGGUAUAAAUCUUCAAGAUUUCCCACUCUUUUGUUUUGUACAUCUUAGUAGAGUAUUUUAGGGUUUUGUCCCAAAAGAUGGAGACUUUAUGAGAUAUUGUACUCCAGAGACCAUGAUCAACCCCCUUUUAGUGUAUUUAGUGUUGAAGUGUCAUAAAAAUCCAGUCUUGGACGUUGGAAUCAAGCCAUGCAUGAAAUAUAAGCUUCUUGCGUUAAGAAAAUGGAUGUUUUAUGUGAUUAUGACCACAUCAGCCAUGCAAAGGCUUAAAGUCACUGACUUUAUGGAGUAAGAGCUGUUAGGGAGUCCAGAUCUGUGAUUUAAGCCAAGGUCUUAACUGAUUAAGACCAAAUUAGUGAGAAGAGUGAAACUGGGAUGUAUGUUGGGCGUAAUCCCAAUACGCGUAGCGUAGGGGUCGUGCAUCCCCGAUGUCUGCAUGGAAGCUAAGUACACCCAACGUAGAGAGCUGGUACGCACAAUGUACUCCCUGUUGUUGACUUUUGGUUGACUUUUAGGGUUUGGUCAAUUUGUGGACAAUUAUGGCCAUUGAGGGGUAAAAUGGUCUUUUACCCUUCUGUGAGAUUGUAGAAGGGUUAGUGUAGUUUCUUGAGAGUCGUGAUUAAUUAGAGAUAAUUGUCGUAUGUGUUAGGCGGAGGCUAGACCGGUGAUUUGAGUUCAAGAUUAGCCGAUUUCUUGCAAGGUGAGUCUUCUCACUAUACUUACCAUGAACAGUAUCUUUGUGUGGCUGAGAUGUCUUAUGUGCUUAUCUAUGUAUUGCGAUAUUCUGCAUUAUGUCUUUGUGAUUUAUGCUGAGUAUUAUUAUGAUGAGCUUAUUGAGUUAGGACCGGAGGGUCCACCCGAGUUGUAGGAGUGGAGGGUCUCCACUGGAAUACAUUGAUCGGAGGGUCGUAUUGAGUUAGCCUCGAGUGGCUAACGCGAUGUGUGUGGUAUUUUUGGGAACUCACUAAGCUUCGUGCUUACCGUGUUAUGUGUUAUGUGUUUCAGGUACUCCCGAGGAUCGCGAGAAGGCUCCGGCUUAAUUGUACACACACUCGUAUUGGAGAUAUGUUUUGGAGGAUUCUGGAUCUAUGAUAAACAAUUUUUGAAAAUGUGUUGAUGUUUGAAAUUUGGAGAUUUUUUAGAAAUACGACGUGUUUAUUUGUGUUUGAAAAUGAAAAAAAACAUUUUGGUUUGAAUUUUUACGUUGUUACAUCACUUUUAAAGAAAAUAUUGGAUUUUCUGAAAGCAUACUAUAUCAUUUUUAUAAGGAUAAGUUACAGAUUUUUCCCAUACAAAACUCUUAUGAACUCACCAACUUAAUUGUUGACACUUUUUCAAAACUAUUUGUAUUCUCAUGAAACCCAUAAACAGGUAAUCAAAAGUUUUUGAGGAUGAGGCAUCACAACAUCACAUUAAUUACUUUUGUCAUAUGUAUUUGGUAUUGAAACAAAUAAUGUUUUGGAUACAAUGUAAUCUCCUUAAUUAUAUUAUGAUGGUUGUCUCUCUGAUCACUAUUAUUCAUUAUGUUAUGAUAUUGUUCAUGAAGUCAUCCACCCUCAGACGUUUUCGCCAUUCUGGUUUGGUGGUGUGACAUAAUAUAACCCCGAAGACUAAAAUCAGGCCACCGAUGACCUAUCUUAUAUCUUAGAAGGCGAGCUUUGCUCUCUUGUAUCAAGUCUAACUUGUCUUCCUAGUUCUUAACUUCUGGAUGGAAUCGACCACGACUCUAAACCAUACUUUUCUUUGGUCCCAAACAAACUCUAUAUAAAGGAAGGUUGGUCAUUCCUUCUAAUUCAUAGUGUAGAUUCCCUUCCUGAUUAAUGAAUUCCACUCUAACCCUUCCCGGGGACAUUCAAGCUUCUUUUAGACAUUUUGAUGAUUGGGAGCUCAACCUUAUUGGAUUGACAUGUUUAAAAAUGUGAAGGUAUGUGUUUAUUCUUGUGACAUAUUUCAACAUUUUAAAGCCACUAAUCUCUCCUCCAAUAGUAUAUUAUAUCCCCUCUCCAUUCCUAAUUUGUUUUGGGAAGACAUAUUAAUAGAAUUUAUUACCGACCUUCCAAAAUUGAAGGAAGUUUUAAGGCGGUACUUGUGGUUGUGAACUGUCUCUCAUAAGUAUUGUCAUUUCAUCCGAAUAAAGCACCCAUUCAUAGUUUGUUCCCUCGCCGAAACAUUUUUAAAGAGAAUCAUCCACUUACACGACAUCCUAAAGAGCAUUCUUAGCGAUAUAGACCUUCUCUUCUAGCACUUUCUAGAAAUAAACUCUCCCUACAAGGUAUAAAAUUUAAAUUUAGUUCAACCUACCAUCCUGAAAUUAAUGGUCAAGCUAAAGUUGUUAAUUGUAGUUUAGAGACUUACUUGCAAUGUUUUAUUACUGGACAACCAUAAACCUAGUCCUCCUGGUUGCUAUGGUCUGAAUAUUGGUACAAUACACCUUAUCAUGUCUCUACUAACACCACUCAUUUCGACAUAGUUUAUGACAUGCCUCUUCCUUCCAUUCUCCUAUUCAUUCUUGAUGAAAUUUAAUUUAGUGACAGGAAACCUCAACUGAUGAUCCCACAUGUAAAAAUGCAUUCAUAAUUCAAUCUAAGUUUCUCGAUUUUAGGCUUAAGGUCAAACCUAUUGCUCAAGGAGUCAACCUUGAUAAUGAUUUUAACCCUUAUUCCUUUGGAUAGUUUGUAGAAAGAAAGAAAAAAAAACAGACUAGGACACAUAGAAAUAAAAGAAUGGAGAAGACCGUUAUGCAUGAAAAAUAAGCGAGGAAGAAUAAUAUAAGUUAGAUUUUUGCAUGAUGUCACAUAUCUAUAGUUUUCUUUUGCAUCCUUACUCUUAGAAUUUUAAGCUUGGAUAAAAGCAAAUCAUAGUUUGAUUUUUUUUGGUUGUUUUGAAUCAUUUUAUUUCAUUUGCCUUCGAUUAAUACAUAAAUCUUUUUUCUACAAUUCCAUUUCAUUUUUCUAUUGUUUGAUUUAGAACUUCCUUUUUAUCCAUUUCUAUCACAAUAUGUUCACAUUAUUGAUGGAUUCUCACAAUAACAACGAUUUGUAGGACAAUUAUGAGCUUAUACGAUCAACUUCUAACUUUAAUUCUAGCUCAUCGGUAUUAGGUAAUGUCUUUCUUUUAGAGGUCGAGGGUUCAAGUCAUGUAUGUGACAUAUGUGGAUUAAGGGGUAGUUUAGAAGUAGGUUACAUUUACCUUUCAAAAAUAAAAACAAAAACAAAAACAAAAACAAAAACAAAAACCUUAGUUGACAUUAAGAUUUUUGUGGGUUGAAACCAAAUUAAAUCUAUCUAUCUAUAUCUAUAUCAUAUGAUAUCAUCAUAUCAUACUAUAUUAUUGUCACACCCCGAAACCGGAACGGCGGAAAUGUUCGGGGGCGGUGGACGUCAUGUUUAGUAUCACAAGGCAUGCAUCAUAGUAAUCGAAGUAAUAAACAACCAUUUCAUUAGAAAGAAGUGGUUACAAAAUAUGUGGUUCACAUAACAUAGACUACAUAUGUAAAUAACAAAAUAAGACAUAAAGCUAUUAUGCUCCAUCUUCCGAAUCCCAGUGCGCGUACCUGUCUACUGGUCUCCUGAGAAUACAAGUUAUUUUGAAAGAGUAGAUCAACAUUUAAGCUGGUGAGUUCAUAAGAUUUUAGUGAUGUAAUAAGUUGUAAGUUCUUUUUAGAAAAGUUCGCCUGUUCCUCAAGAAAAUCCUAUAUUUCCUACUUUGAUGAAAGAUAAGUAAAAAUGACUCUACAAUCCUUUCUAUGAGUACUAAAUGAAUACAAGUUAUAUAAAACCCAGAGUAAACAAACAAUCGAUUGUGUGUAUCUGCCUUAAGCCCACAACUAAAUAAGGAACAGGGAAUGAGGCGGAAGGCACACAUCCCAUUGUUUGUUAGAUCAUCGUUGUAGAUAACCUUGGUGUAUUCACUUGGUACUCACGGAGAUAACUGCAACAGUUCCUUUAUAUUUGAUGGAAACAUUCUUUAAGAAAACCCUUAUUUCUUUUAGUAAAAAUGGUAACCAUAAUGGUUCCUUCUAUAAUCAUUUAGUUUAUACCAGCUAUAUAAAAUCUAAUUUCGAAUAGAUAGUUAGUUAUGUGAAUCUGCCCUAAGCCCACAACCAAACAAGGAACAGGAAGUAAGGUGGAAAACACACAUUCAACUACCUAUCGGGUAAUAAUUAUAUAUAACCCUGAUGUAUAAACUAAGGUAUUAUAGAAUUAACCACCUAAGGUCCUUUAAGUUAUACUAGUUUAAUAAAAUGGGUUAAACCCAUUUCUGGUAAGCUUCUAGUUUUGUCUACCAAAUGUUCUAAUUGAAAAGUAUGUUUUGUACUAGAAAACGGUGUAUUGAAUUUGUCACACCCCCAAACCAAGGAUGGCGGAAACGUCCGGGGGUGGAGGACUUCAUGUACAGUAUCACAACAACGUGUAUAAUAGUGCUCAAAGUAAAUACAACCAUCAUAAAUAUAAUUGAAAAAGUUACACCAAAGUAUAUGUUUACAUGUUUCAAAAUCAAUUACAUUAUGAUGACAAAAAUAAAUUGUUGACGGUUUAACGUCCCAUCCUCAAAGCGCUGAAGUUUUCCUGUUUCACUGAUUUCCUGAGAAUACAAGUAGUUUUGAAAGAGUGUCAACAAUUAAGUUGGUGAGUUCAUAAGAGUUUUGUUUGAAGUAGAAACCGUUUUCCUUGUAAAAUCGAUAGAGUUUGAUUUCCAGAAAAUCCAAUAUUUUCUUAGUUAAGUGUGAACAGAAUAUUCCUAUAUGAUGUGUUAAUGAACCCUAGAAUGACCCGUAGAUUUCCCCUAUAAUCGUCCAGCGUAUAUAAGUUAUAUAAGAUUUAAGUUAGAUAAAACGUUGAAUAUAGUGGGUCUGCCCUAGGUCCACAACCCAACGAGGAACAGGAGAUGAGGCGGGCACCACCAAUUCUAAGCCAAUCCAGACUAAAUUCUUGUAUGACUCAAGCAUAUACGCUCAACGAUUAUAGUUGAAGUCUAACAAUGCGAAAAUUUAAUGUGGACUUAAAUCCAAAAACCGGAACCAAACCCUAGUGUAGUGUAUGAAAUAGUAAUAGUGACUGUGAACAUAAACUAUACAUAUCAUAGUUCAUCGGAUAGUGAUAGUGACUAGUGAACAUGAACUAUGCAUAUUAUAGUUUACCAAAAGUGGUGGUGAUGGUGAAUAUAACCUAUACAUAUCAUAGUUCAUCGGAUAGUAAUAGUGAUUAGUGAACAUGAACUAUGCAUAUUAUAGCUUAUCAAAAGUGGUGGUGAUGGUGAAUAUAACCUAUACAUAUCAUAGUUCAUCGGAGAGUAAUAGUGAUUAGUGAACAUGAACUAUGCAUAUUAUAGCUUAUCAAAAGUGGUGGUGAUGGUGAAUUCCUUUCUUGUAAUUAAGUUCAUAGGGUAGAUGAAACAUAAACUAUACCUAUUAUAGUUUAUCACUUUGUUUGUAAUAUAUAUAUGCCAUAACUAUACCGAUUAUAACUAGCGUGUUCGUUUGUGGGGGUAUAAUGGCUUAUCUAUACUUAUUAUAGUUUAUCAUAAUUAUCCAUAGUGGUAAUAACUCUUUUGUAUGUGUAAAACCUUUAAUAAUGAGUUUGUCAUGUAAAACAACCCUAAACUAUACCUAUUAUAGUUUAUUAAUUAUUUGCGUAGGUAGUGAGCAUAAGCCUUACUUGUCAUAAUUUACCAUUGUUUAUUAUUUUAAUGGAUAUAGCCUUGUAAUAUCAUUUAUAUAUUUACCAUACUUGUGGAGGUGUAAAUCCAUUUGUUUUCUGAUGUAUGUCUAUAUAAGAAUACAAAAUUGUCAUAUAUUGCAACUACACAUAAUCACAUAAUGAUGUAUACCUUGCUCAACAUGUUACAAGGUGAAAUGAAAUUUAUAGUGUUUUUCUGUUAAUAACAUUUUCUGUAACUGUUAUUGGAAAAAUUGUAGAAAAAUCAUAAAAUGUCCAAAUCAAGUUCUGUAACUUCUGAGAGGUUGGAAAAUGAGUCUAGUUUGUUCAUAAUUUUUAUUAUAAUUUUUAAUGACUUCUUACUUGUGUGAAAAAGUCCAUAAUCACAGACUGGUCCAGAUUGAUGUUUGAAAUGAUAGGCAGUUUUGUAAAAAUCACCAUAAAUUGUAGAAAAAUCGUAUGGAGAUGUGCAAGUAGUCAUUUUAAAGCUAAGAAGUGGAACUACAUGCACCUAAAACAGUUUUGAAAACUAAAAUGUUUAAGAUGUCCAAAACAGUCCGUGAAUGGAGUUGAACUUUUCUGAUGAAGGCUGUUAGAAAAGUUUAGUUAUGUUCUUGGUGUAUUAACUUGUAUUCCCCCCCUAAAAACUUGAGAAAACAUGAAAAUGUAGGGGUAUGAACUCACCUUAAGUGAUUUCAGUAGGUAAGUGUUGAAGAAGAGAAGUGUUCAACCCAAGAACACUUGAAGAAUCACUUGAAGAUUCGAAGAUCUAACACAAUUAUAAUGGAGUUUGUGUAAGAUAUCCAUGAUUUGAGUGGAAAUAAUUGAGAUAAUCAUAAAGAGAAUGGAUUAUUCUUACCAAAUGUGGAGGAAAAUCCCAAGAUCAGCCCUCAAAUCUCGAGUUCUAGAGAGGGAAAAUGAGAGAGAAAAGAGUUUGCUCUUUUUGGUGAAAAGAGAGAAAAUGAGAGAAAUGAGGAGAGAGGAUGAAUAUUCAGCUCUCAAAAACGUGGGAAGGAGUGAUGAUUGAGUGGAAAGGACAUUGAUGUGACCUAGGUAAGGUGGGGAGGUGUGGCUGGUCAUAGAGUGGGUGUGGGAGUGGUUGCUUGUGUCAUAAAGUAAAGCAAAGUCAACACUCCACCUCUUUGUACUUUACCCACUUGCUUUUAUUAUUUAAAUAAAGAUUUUUAUGAAAAUAUGAUUAAAUUGUGAAUAUUUAGGGUUUAUUAUGUUAAAAUAUGAUUUUGGGUGAAAACCCCGCGUUAAAAUAAUUAAAAACGGGCCUUAAACGUAAAACUAUGCGAAAACCGGGAGAAAUUGAGCUUCCAGCGAGACCUCUCGGUCCUAGGCCGAGGUUCGGUCCCUAGGCCGAGGUUCGGUCCAUGCUGAUGCUGAGUCGGAAACGAAAGGCGCGAGCUAGAAGCGAGAGGCGAAGGGCGAGGGUCCGUCCGAAGGCUCGGUCCGAAGUCAGAAGCGAAGGUCAGCAGGGAAGCUUCGGUUCGGAGAUAAGAGGCGAGAAUGUCAGAACCGAACGGACUGUAGUGAACAGUAGUGAACAGUACCUUCGGUUCGGUUAGUGAACAGUACCUUCGGUUCGGAUCAGCAGCCUUCUUCAUCAGGAGGGUUCGGUUCCUAAGAGGGGUUUCGGUUCCUAAGAGGGGUUUCGGUUCCUAAGAGGGGUUUCGGUUCCUUAAGUCCGUUUUUCGCGUAGACUUCCGUUUUUGGGCUGUUUUCGCCAAAUUCGAGGGUCGGGAUGCCCCGAGUGAUUAUAGAAAGUUGGGAGAGAUUUCGAGAGAGAUUUGAGAGAGAUUCCACAUACUUAGAGAGAUUUGGGAGAGAUUUGACAUUCUUGGAGAGAUUUCACAUACAAAGAGAUAUUUGGGAGAGAUUUCACAUACUUAGAGAGAUUUGGGAGAGAUUUGACAUACUUGGAGAGAUUUCUCAUACAAAGAGAUAUUUGGGAGAGAUUUCACAUACUUAGAGAGAUUUGGGAGAGAUUUGACAUUCUUGGAGAGAUUUCACAUACAAAGAGAUAUUUGGGAGAGAUUUCACAUACUUAAAGAGAUUUGGGAGAGAUUUGACAUACUUGGAGAGAUUUCACAUACAGAGAGAUAUUUAGGAGAGAUUUCACAUACUUGGAGAGAUUUCUCAUACAAAGAGAGAUUUGGGAGAGAUUUCACAUACUUAGAGAGAUUUGGGAGAGAUUUCUCAUAGAGAGAGAUAAAGUGAAAACGAUUGAGAGAGGUUUCAUUGGUGACCUUUUUGAGUGUUCGGCUUCGCAAUGCAGGGUCCGUAAUCCCCGUUAAGCCUUGUUUAAGGAUCUUGCAUACUCCCGAUGAGUAUGCAACAUUGUUUUAUCGGUUUGGCUCGCCACGUACCACAGUUUUAGGUUAAGGAGAUCUAGAUGUACGCACUUUUCAAUUUAUGAUUUCUCAAUAGAAUAGAAAGUUGUUUAGAAAUUACAUAACGUAAACUCUAAUGCUCAUGGCAAAUUGAGUUGACCAGUUUGACUUGUUGACUUUGACUUGACCGAAAAUUGACGGUUGUCACAGAAUUUGUAUACUAUGACCUGGCCCAUACCUGGUACUCCCUAUGAUUACUUAGUGUAUAUGGAAUAUAUACAUAGCUAAGAUCGGAUAGAUAGUAGACUGGGUGCAUCUGCUCUAGGCCCACAACCAAACAAGGAACAGGAAGUAAGGCGGAAAGCACACAUCCAACUACCUAUCGGGUAUUAAUUAUAUAUAACCCUGAUGUAUAAACUAAGAAAUCAUAAAGUUAGCAUUAUAGGCCCUUUUCUACUGAAUGUACUAUGACUCUACUGUUUUGUUUGUCCCUUGUAAGUUUUCCCUAGUUUAUAACUAUCUUAACUCGAAAAAUAGUUUGCAUUAACUUUCAAGUGGAACUGUCACAACAUGAAAGUAAUGGGAAAAAUGUAAGUAUACAGUUGUCUUUUAUAUUGACAAACUGAAGUACUGAUUACCUUAAAACCAGAUUGUUUUAUUAAGGUCAUAAUGUGAUGUGGUUGUACCCAUACUAUACUCUCUCCCUGCAAGAGAUUCUGGUUACAAAACGUGACUUCAGCAAACAAAUUGCUAAGCCGUGAAGUAGACUCACAUUAAAGUUAUCUUGUUCUUGUAUACCACAUUUAUUAUCACCUUUUGUUUAGAGCAAUGAGUUAGUGAUCAUUGGUAUAAUUUUGUUAAUCAUGAUAUGUUCUUCUGUUAUAGUAUAUAGUAUGUUCUUUCUGUUAUCAGGUAUUGUAUCUUCCUCCUUGUAUCUCGUUAUAGUAUGUUCUCUAUGUUAUCGUGCAUUAUAUCUACCUCCCUGUUUCUCUUUAUAGUAUGUUCUCUAUGUUCUAGUGUGAAUUGAACCCCUAAACUAUACCUAUUAUAGUUUACUAGUAUGUUUACUUGAACUAAUACUGACUUGAAGAAAAGACUCAUUUUAUCUACUAAGUUAUGAUUAUACUUUAAAAAUGGAGUUUUGUAAACUAUAAAGUAACAUAACUUUAAAAGAGUUUUUGAAAUAUUUUGAUCACUUAUAAAUACAUAAGCAAUCCUUUAAAAGAUGUUUAUAACAAAACAUUUACACAAUUAACAUUGUAUUCAACUUGUAUUCCCUUNNNNNNNNNNNNNNNNNNNNNNNNNNNNNNNNNNNNNNNNNNNNNNNNNNNNNNNNNNNNNNNNNGGGAUUGACAACCCCGCACCUAAACUGUUAGCUACAAUUAGACCGGCAGGUCUGGGGUGACAAGAGUCAUAACACUACAACACUUGAAGAAUGUUGUUACAGGCAGUCGGUGUCAAUAGUAUGGUUAUAAGACUCACACGAAAGUAUAAAAACAAGCUUGAUUUACGAGAUUCAUACAUGCAUACAGUAUUUACAUUAUUUUAAGUACAAACUUAUCUUUAUCAUUUAAUUACGAAAGAUACUAACGCCCUCCAACUUUGGGAACUUUUCAAACUAUAUAUGGAAAAUAUUGGAUUUUCUGAAAACCACGUUCAUCGAUUUUCUUCCAUAAAGACAUUAUUUUCAAUACAAAACACCUAUGAACUCACCAACUUUAUUGUUGACACUUUUUCGAAACCACUUGUAUUUCUCAGGGAAUUAGUAAUACAGGUAACUACCAGCUUUUGAAGAAGGAAUGCUAAGGGAGUUUAUUAUUAAACAUUUUACCUCAUCAUAUUGUAAUAUUCUUUUGGAAUCAUGUAUAACGCAACAAUGUACGUUUUUAUUAUAUAUAUGAUGGUUGUGUUACUUUCUUUACAAUAUUCAAUUGUUAUGGUACUACGUGAAGUCAUCCACCCCCGAAUGUUUCCGCCAUUCUGGUUUGGGGGUGUGACAGAUUGGUAUCAGAGCAUUGUUUAUAGUGAACUAAGUAUAUCGAACCACAUAAGAUAUACAAACUAUAAAUGCAAAGGGGACCAAAAACCCUCUGACGAAACGUUUUCAUNAUAACAAAGUUUUCUAAAAAGUAUUAAGGCAAGUUGUGACACUACGAUUGGGCCUCGAGGUAUGUAAUCAAAUCGAGAAUAACUAUAGCCUGAUCAACUAUAUUUAUCCUGUAUUUGACCAACGUACGUCGAGGAAUGGUCGUAGUGGACAACAAGUCAAAAACUUACCAAAUAAAAUUUUUAGACUCGCAAAUUUGAAAUACUAUAGGAGUAUUGUUAUAGGAUAAUAGGACAAUGAAAAACCUGCACACAUUAAGAUAUAGUUAAACUUAGGAUGCCGUUAAAUAGAAAUUUCUUUUCUUAUAAAAUUCUCAUACCUCUAUCCUAGUACAGAAAAAUGGCCGGAUUCCAUUUACCGGGAGAUCCCUACUACCCAAACCAAGGCAACGGCAGAUGGAUAGAAGAAGACCCGGAGGAAAUCGAAGAGGAAGUCGAAGAAGAAUUCGAAGUUGAAGUCGGAGAGGAAUUCGAAGUCGACGAGGAGGUCGAGGAUGAAGAAGAAGCUACCGAUGGAACAGACUUCGAGCCGGAAGUAAUCAACCCUCCCGCUCCCCGUCCUCCCGAAGUCAGAAUAGGUUACCAAGGUCCCAUCCCCAUUUGGGGAAGUCAUCUUUACCAUUGGAGCCGUCAACUAGGUGUACGCCCUCUUUUUGGCUUGUGUCGAGACUUUUACAAUGUCAGUGGGGGAGGCUCAGCUGAUCGAGCACUUCCCGUUAUUAUAGGCACAAUAGCCACCCAGAACUACCAGUCAGACAUGCAAGUGGCCAAAAUCCGUGAGGUCAAUGCUGCUACACAAGGUAACGCCGCAGACAUUCGUCGCCUGGACGGACUACACGAAAGUACCCAACUCCACACAGGGACGCUUCAGAACCAAAUGACGACAGCACUGGCAGAAAUAAGAGAGAUGAAGGAACGACAAGCAGUUCUUGAAAGGCGCCUAAUGGGAGUCAAGCAGUCGGAUGCUGAGUCUAGCUCCAAACGCACAACACACCGCAAGUAGAACUUGCUCAACUUCAACAAUUUUGAUAUAGAAUAGGACCUCGGAUAAAGUUUUUCUCUUAUUUCCUUGUACUUGUAAUCGGAGACCUCUAGAUAGGUCAAAUUUUCCUAAACACGAAGCAUAAUGUAACGCACCGUAUGUGUGACAUAUAUAUGAAUAUGAAGUACUUCUUUACAUACCUCUCGAAACUUAUGGGAUUAACUAAAUUGUUAUACCUACUUUAAAACCAUAAACUAAAGUCAAAACAAAUUACAAGAUACAACUAACCCUCUAGUACACGAUUGUCAAAUCAUUAGAAACUUAUAGUGUUCAUUAUUAUUUAUCUACCAGAACAUGCCUCCUUGUAGAUCAGCAUGCAGAAACUCAGCUCCAACACCACCUCCACCACCCUCUCCAACUAUGGAUGCAGCUAUGUUCCAAACUGCUGUAACAACUGCUGUGACCGCAACGAUGGCUCAAAUGAGUAACAACGGGUCAGGAGGAGGAAUAAACAGCUUUACAAAUGGCCAAAGCCAAGUCCAUUCCGGAGUAUGUACUUAUAAAGACUUCACUAACGGAAAACCUAUUCCCUUUUAUGGGACUGGGGGAGUGAUGGCUCUAUACCAAUGGAUAGAGAAAACGGAAGCUAUAUUCGAAAUUUGCACAUGCCCUGAAGAGAGCAAAGUAAAAUUUGUCGCUUUUACUUUCUCCGAACGAGCCCUGACAUGGUGGAACGGCCACGUCAAGGCACUAACCCUAGUGGUGGCGAACUUCAUGGGUUAGGAAAACCUGAAACGAAUGCUCCUACGAGAGUACUGCCCAAGAGGCGAGAUUCAGAAGCUCGAACAAGAACUGUGGGGCCUUACGAUGGUAGGCUCGGACAUCGCAGGCUAUACCAACAGAUUCAGUGACUUGAUAAUACUUUGCCCAGGGAUGUUGAUCCUGGAAAGCCAAAAGGUGGAGAGGUACAUCUGGGGACUAUCACCCCAACUUCGAGGGAGUGUGUUAGCCUCCAAAUCCAUGACAUUCGACAACGCCAAGGAACUGGCGCAAUCUCUCAUUGAUCAUGGUGUCUGUCAAGGAGUCACGGCUAUCGUCGCUGAACCAACCAAAGGGAACAACAACAACGAUAACAAUGCCAACAACAACAGCAAGAAGAAAUUCUGGAUCAAGAGAAAGGGGCAAACUUCGCAAGAACCUUCAAAGAAACAAAUGGUGGCGGUUCAUGCCGCUACUGCUCCCUCACAACUCCUGCUACCCCUGUGCCAACAAAACAAUAUGCUGGGAACCUGCCAAAGUGCAUCAAAUGCAACUACCAUCACCACGGUAAUUGCUGCGAGAUGCACUGUAAAAACUGCGACAGGAAAGGGCACACUGCCCGUUUCUGUAAGGCACCGGCGCGACCAAUCACUCAAGUUCCUGGUACUGGGAUAAGCCAGGCAUGUUAUGCGUGUGGAGAAACUGGGCACUUCAAGAGGGAUUGCCCCAAGGCAAAGAAUGUUGGCGGUGUUGGGAGAGUGCUGGCGAUAGGUCAAAAUGAAGCAAUAGUUGAUUCCACGAUGGUUACGGGUACGUUUCUCCUCGGCAACAUUUAUGCAUGCAUACUCUUUGACUGCGGUGCGGAGAGAAGUUAUGUGAGUCAUAAAUUCAAACACCUACUUAAUCAAAAACCCCAACCACUCAAUAAAAUAUUCACUGUGGAAAUGGAAAACGGUAAAACGGAAAGCGCAAGCGAUAUGUAUGUAGGGUUCACAUUAAACUUAAACGAACACUUAUUUCAAAUCGAUCUUAUGCCCAUUUCGAUAAGAAGUUUUGAUGUCAUCACCGGUAUGGACUGGUUAAGCCUUCACCAUGCCGAUAUACUUUGUCACGAAAGGGCCGUUCGCCUCAAUAUGCCAAACGGCGAAAUUCUUGUCAUUUAUGGUGACAAACCUAGUACAAAUUUACAAAUCAUCUCCUAUGUUAAAGCACGAAAAUAUCUUCGCAAGGAAUAGCAUGCCUUUCUAGCUCACGUAGUAGACCAGAAAUAAGAACCGAAGAACAUUAAAGACAUUCCGGAAGUCUGCAACUUCCCAGACAUCUUCCCAGAAGAUCUUCCAGGAAUCCCACCAGAACGCCAAGUCGAGUUCAGAAUCGACUUAAUCCCCGGAGCUACUCCAGUAGCAAAGUCGCCUUACCGUCUAGCCCCAGCCGAGAUGCAGGAACUGUCCAGUCAAUUAAACGAAUUGCUGAGCAAGGGCUUCAUCAGGCCAAGCUUCUCACCAUGGGGAGCACCGGUCCUAUUCGUGAAGAAGAAGGACGGAUCUUUCCGCAUGUGCAUCGAUUACAGGGAGCUGAACAAACUCACGAUCAAGAACCGAUAUCCCCUACCGCGCAUAGACGAUCUGUUCGACCAACUAUAGGGAGCAAGCUACUUCUCAAAGAUCGAUCUAAGAUCUGGUUAUCACCAACUACAAGUGCUGGAAGGAGACAUCCCCAAAACGACAUUCCGAACACGCUAUGGUCACUACAAGUUUGUAGUGAUGCCCUUUGGAUUGACAAAUGCACCAACAGUGUUCAUGGACUUGAUGAACCGGGUAUGUCGUCCCUUCCUGGAUAAAUUCGUGAUCGUGUUCAUAGAUGAUAUACUCAUCUAUUCAAGAAGCAAGGAAGAACACAGCCAACACCUCUGCCAAGUCUUGGAAACAUUGAGAGCAGAAUAGCUAUACGCAAACUUUUCAAAGUGUGAGUUUUGGAUUCGGGAAGUGGAUUUCCUAGGUCACGUAGUAAGCAAAGAGGGGAUACACGUGGAUCCUUCUAAGAUCAAGGCAAUAGAGAAUUGGACGACUCCGAGAACCCCAAUAGAAAUCCGACAGUUUUUGGGACUCGCCGGGUAUUAUCGAAGGUUUAUACAAAACUUUUCAAAGAUUGCUAAGCCACUUACCACCCUAACUCAGAAGAGCGUGACCUUCGACUAGGGAGAAAAACAAGACAUCGCGUUUCAAACACUAAAGCAAGCCUUAUGUAGUGCACCCAUUCUAACCUUACCAGAAGGAACAGAGGACUUCGUGGUCUAGUGUGACGCGUCAAACCAAGGACUUGGGUGUGUCCUGAUGCAACGAGGGAAGGUCAUCGCCUACGCCUCAAGACAACUAAAGACGCACGGACUAAACUACACAACGCACGAUCUCGAGCUAGGAGCAGUCAUUUUCGCUCUAAAGAUAUGGAGGCACUAUCUCUACGACACAAAAUGUACAAUCUUCACCGAUCAUAAAAGCCUCCAGCAUAUCCUCAGCCAGAAAGAACUCAACAUGAGACAAAGACGGUGGGUAGAACUACUAAAUGAUUACGAAUGCGAAAUUCGAUAUCAUCCCGGAAAGGCUAACAUGGUGGCCGACGCACUCAGCCGGAAGGAAUACUCGGGCCGCAGAGUGAUGUCUCUAACCAUGACAAUCCACUCACACCUAUCCAUGCAAAUCAAGGAAUCCCAAAUAAAAGCCUUAAAAUCUGAAAAUGUGGCAGGGGGAGCCUUAAGGGGUGGAUAAGAANGAGCGAUCGAGUUCUUUAUUUCAUGGAUCGAAUCUGGACACUGAAGUUUGGUGGAUUCAGAGAAAUCGUCAUGGACGAAGCCCAUAAGACACGAUACUCCAUACAUCCCGGUUUCGAUAAGAUGUAUUUGGACCUCAAGAAGUUGUACUGGUAGCCGAACAUGAAAGUCGAAAUUGCUACCUACGUGAGCAAAUGCCUGCCGUGCGCCAAAGUCAAGGUGGAAUACCAAAAGCCCUCGGGAUUUUUGCAACAACCAGAAAUACCCGAAUGGAAGUGGGAGCGGAUAACCAUGGAUUUCAUAACCAAAUUACCCAAGACGGCAAGCGGACACGGCACCAUCUGGGUGAUCGUCGACAGAUUAACUAAAUUAGCGUAUUUCCUACCAACCAAAGAAACGGAUAAAUUGGAGAAAUUAACUAGAACAUACCUCAGAGAGAUUGUACGACUGCAUGGUGUGCCCAUAUCCAUCAUCUCGGACCGAGAUAGUAGAUUCACCUCAAGGUUCUGGCAGUCGCUACAAAAAUCUCUAGGAACAAGACUGGACAUGAGCACUGCUUAUCACCCACAAACUGACGGCCAAAGUGAGAGAACCAUACAAACCCUAGAGGAUAUGUUGAGAUCUUGCGUAAUCGAUUUUGGUAAAGCAUGGGACACCCAUCUACCCUUGGUCGAGUUCUCGUACAACAAUAGCUACCACACUAGCAUAAAGGAUGCCCCGUUCGAAGCCCUCUACGGCCGUAAAUGCGGAUCACCUCUGUGCUGGGCUGAAGUGGGGGACACACAAAUAGCAAAAGGACAAGCAAUAGACAACAUGCUCAUUGGGCCAAAAAUCAUAAGGGAAACUAUGGAGAAGAUUGUUCAGAUCCGGGAACGACUGAAAGCAUCAAGGGACAGACAAAAGAGUUACGCAGAUAAAAGACGGAAACCCUUGGAAUUCCAGGUUGGAGACCGUGUCCUACUAAAAGUCUCGCCCUGGAAAGGAUCAAUACGUUUCGGAAAGCGUGGGAAACUGAACCCAAGAUACAUUGGACCAUUCGAGAUCCUUGUUAGGAUCGGUCUGGUGGCCUACAAACUUCGAUUACCUCAGGAACUCCACAACGUACACCCUACCUUUCACAUAUCAAACCUAAAGAAGUGUUUGUCCGACGAGACCCAUGUCAUUCCUCUAGACGAAAUUGCAAUAAAUGAGAAUCUCCAAUUCGUAGAAGAACCGGUAGAGAUCAUGGAUCGGGAAAUUAAAAGGACUAAGCAAAGCCACAUACCUAUUGUAAAGGUCCGCUGGAAAGCCAAGCGAGGACCUAAAUACACCUGGGAACGCGAGGAUCAGAUGAAACAAAAGUACCCGUAUCUCUUCCCUAACCUGUGAACUCAGUCUUAGAUUAAAUUUCGGGACGAAAUUCCCCCAACGGGGGGAUGAUGUGACAACCCUAUAUUUUUCCAAAAGCAAUGUAACACUCAAAAGUCAAAUACGACGAAAACUAUUUGUAAUCAACGAAAUUAACCUCAAAAAUAAAGUGUUCAAAUAUCUAAAGUGGGAUGCAUCAGAUGUUAGAUAUCGUGCCAAGGUUUCCAAAAACAUAAAGAACACUCGAAACCGGGUUAUAUUGAAGAAACUAUAACCACUCAAAUAAUUAUGACACACCCGGUAAAACACUAUUUAACGUAAAAAGUGAAAUUCCAAUUAAAUGCAUUUUAGCCUUAAGUAUCUAAACAAACGUUGUAGAGUUAGUUAAACUGUAAACGUACAUAAAAAGAUCACCCAAAUUAGACCUCGUAUGAAGAAGUUACGAAUUUUUUAAGUUUCGUAACAGUAGUAGAUAGCUAAAAACUCGAAAUGAAGAUCGAUCGAUAUUUAGCCAACGCAACCUAAACGAGAGUUGAAGGUCUCCACAAUAGGAGUAAAAUGAUAAAAAGAAAAACGAAAAUCGACGUCGGAUAAAGAAACUAUGAAUUUUUAACGGACUUUAGCAGUCCCUGCCUAUUAAAAACAUAGCAUUAAAAAUAAAUUCAAAACUAGCCGACGGAGUCUAAAUGAAAAUUGUAGAGCAUAAUCUCACCUACGCGUGGAUAUAAAGAACGCGAAAAACGGAGCCCGUACGCGAAAAUUACAAAAUUUAGAAGAUGGAAGCCAGAAUUACGCCCAGCGUAAUUCAGGAGUAUGCCCAGCGUACUCAGGUGCAGGGUCGAGUCCCAUCGGCUGCAACUCUAUGCCUAGCUAUACUCGAGUCGUAAUCCAUGACGCAAACUUACGCCCAGCGUAACCGAAGUACGCCCAACGUACUCCGGUGGUACGCCCAGCGUACUCACAUUUUCAGCCCUAUAAAUAGAAGGCAUAAGCUCUGGGUUUUAGCACACAUUUCCCAAAUUCACACUUACUCUCACACACUUGCAAGCACCAGAGGCCAUCCCGACACCCUCGAUUUCCGCACCCGAGCCCCCGACGAAGGUUCUACGCUACCGAGAUCCCGAGAAGCUCGAAGAUGCAGCUUUCCGCGGUUGAAGUUCUACUCGACUCUAGUCCCACUCUCUUCAAACCGAACAAGUGAGUUCAUACCCCUACUUUUCAAGUCUUUUCAUGUUUUAGGGGGGAAUACAAGUUUAAUACAAGAAAACGUAUCGUUUUAUAAACUUAAAUGCAACAACUAUCCUUACGUAUAAAGUUUAGCAUAUCACCAAGUUAUUUUCACCAAAUGGAACAUACUUUCGGAAAAACUAUAAUGGGUAUAGUUAGCAAGUUAUUCAUACAUUCUUACGUAUACAUCUUGAAAAACGAAAUACUUUCAACUAAAAUGAAAUAAAGUCUUUCUUAUCGUAAAUCUAUUUAUACUAAGUGAUGUGAGACAUUCAAACUUCAACAUACUCUUAUGUAUGCAUUUCAAGUCCUGUAUUAUAAGCCAUAAUCUCUUGGAGGGAGAGCGUGAUACUUGUAUAUAGAUCUAUACGGGAUUGACAACCCCGCACCUAAACUGUUAGCUACAGUUAGACCGGCAGGUCUGGGGUGACAAGAUUCAUAACACUACAACACCUGAAGAAUGUUGUUACAGGCAGUCGGUGUCAAUAGUAUGGUUAUAAGACUCACACGAAAGUAUAAAAACAAGCUUGAUUUACGAGAUUCAUACAUGCAUACAAUAUUUACAUUAUUUUGAGUACAAACUUAUCUUUAUCAUUCAAUUACGAAAGAUACUAACGCCCUCCAACUUUGGGAACUUUUCAAAUUAUAUAUGGAAAAUAUUGGAUUUUCUGAAAACCACGUUCAUCGAUUUUCUUCCAUAAAGACAUUCUUUUCAAUACAAAAUACUUAUGAACUCACCAACUUUAUUGUUAACACUUUUUCGAAACCACUUGUAUUUCUCAGGGAAUCAAUAAUACAGGUAACUACCAGCUUUUGAAGAAGGAACGCUAAGGGCGUUUAUUAUUAAACAUUUUACCUCAUCAUAUUGUAAUAUUCUUUUGGAAUCAUGUAUAACGCAACAAUGUACGUUUUUAUUAUAUAUAUGAUGCUUGUGUUAUUUUCUUUAUAAUAUUCAAUUGUUAUGGUACUACAUGAAGUCAUCCACCCCCGAAUGUUUCCGCUAUUCUGGUUUGGGGGUGUGACACAUUCAUUUUUCCUUUCACCACAUUCAUUUGAAACUUCCAUGACUUUUCACUUUCUUUCUAAUAAUGAUUAUAACUUGGUUAAUAAGGUUAAAUAAAUAUGAAAACUAAAGUGUAAUCAUAUAUAAACCAAAUUUCAUUAUUAAAAAAUAUAUUUACUUCUACAUAUAUAGUAAUGUUUUUUUAACUUUUAAGAUACUAUACUUAAUUUAUUAAUUUUAAUAUAUUGUUAGAUGUAAACCAUUAUCAUUUUAAAGCAAUAACUUUUGAACAAUUUGUAUAAAAUACUUAAAUUAUUAAUUUAAAUAUAAUAUUACAAGGUUAACUUAAAUAUAAAUUUUAGUUUAACUUAAACAACCCAAAUAAUAUUUUCUAAAUAGUUAAAAGUGAUAAAUUGUAGAGUCUUUCUAAUAAUGAUUAUAAUUUGGUUAAUAAGGUUAAAUAAAUAUUAAACCUAAAGUGUAACCAUUAAUAAACUAAAUUUUAAUAUUAAAAUAAUAUAUUUACUUCUACUUAUAAAGUUUUGAAUUUAACUUUUAACAUAUUAUUCCUAAUUUAUUAAAUUUAAUAUGUUGUUGUAUGUAAACCAUUAUCAGUUUAAAGCUACAACUUUUGAACAAUUUUGACAAAAUACUUAAAUUGUUAAUUUAAAUAUAACAUUACAGUGCCAACUUAAAUAUAAAUUUCAGUUCCACUUAAAAAGCUCACUAAAUAUUUUGUAAAUAGUUAAAAAUGAUAAAUUGUAGUACUAAUGCAAAAAGUAAAUUGUAAUAUCAUUUUAACUAAAAUAUUUCCUAAAAAUAUUUUUAUAAUCGUUAAAAGUUUUCAAAUAAGUAGCUUAAAAUAACUUAGAAUAACAAUAGUUAAAAAAACUGUAUAUAAAUAAUUAUAUUGUUACCUUUAAAAUCAAAAAACAAUGUUUGAUGUUUUAAAUAAUUAUAAUGAUAGAAAUUAAAACAUUAAACAAAUAAAAUUUAAAAUUAACAAUAACAACAACUUGCAAAGCGGAAUAGAAAAGCACGGACGAGCCACAUGCAGGGAAGCCAUUACUUGACCAAGAACGUGAGAGGAUUGAACACACGUGAGAGGAUUGAACACACCUUCCCUAAAUAACAUUAAACAAUAUAUUAUAUUUAAUUUUAUUCAUUAAUAACUCGCAGGUAGAAAUCAUUCAUACGAUUGAGAUUAUGCAAUUAUAAUAAAUGUAUAUAUUAUCAUAUAAUUCAAAAUAAUCAAUAUAUUAUAUCAAUUUAGUAUACGAAUUAUUAUAUCAAAUGUAAAAACAACGUUAUUGUUACACCAUAUUCAUUUGAAACUCUUAUAUAUUUUUCCUUUCACCACAUUCAUUUGAAACUCCCAUGACUUUUCAAUUUCUUUCUCAUAAUAAUUAUAAGUUUGUUAAUAAGAUUGAAUAAAUAUCAAACCUAAAGUGUAAUCAUAUAUAAACUAAAUUUCAAUAUCAAAAGAAUAUCUUUACUUGUACUUAUAACAUUAUGUUUUUUUAACUUUUAACAUAUUAUACUUAAUUUAUUAGUUUUAAUAUAUUGUUGGAUGUAAACCAUUUUCAUUUUAAAGCUGCAACUUUUGAACAAUUUGUAAAAAAAUACUUAAAAUUAUAAAUUUAAAUAUAACAUUACAGGAUCAACUUAGAUAUAAAUUUUAGUUUAACUUAAACAACCCAAAGAAUAUUUUGUAAAUAGUUAAAAGUGAUAAAUUGUAGAGUCUUUCUAAUAAUUAUUAUAAGUUAGUUAAUAAGAUUAAAUAAAUAUCAAACUUAAAGUGUAAUCAUAAAUAAACUAAAUUUCAAUAUUAAAGUAAUAUCUUUACUUAUACUUAUAAAGUUAUGUCUUUAACUUUAAACAUAUUAUACUUAAUUUAUUAUAUUUAAUAUGUUGUUGUAUGUAAACCAUAUCAGUUUAAAGCUAUAACAUUUGAACAGUUUGGACAAAAUACUUAAAUUGUUAAUUUAAAUAUAACAUUACAGUGUCAACUUAAAUAUAAAUUUCAGUCCACUUAAAAACCCAAUGCAUAUUUUGUGAAUAGUUAAAUGUGAUAAAUUGUAGUGCUAAAUGAAAAAAUGUGAUAAAUUGUAUUUAACUUUUAACAUAUUAUACUUAAUUUAUUAGAUUUAAUAUGUUGUUUUAUGCAAACCAUUAUCAUUUUAAAGCUACAACUUUUGAACAUUUUGGACAAAAUACUUAAAUCAUUAAUUUAAAUAUAACAUUACAGUGUCAAUUUAAAUAUAAUUUUCAGUUCCACUUAAAAAACACAAAGAAUAUUUCUAAAUUGUAAUCUCAAUUUAACUAAAAUAUUUCAUAAAGAUAUUUUUAUAAUCUUUAAAAGUUUUCAAAUAACUAGAUUAAAAUAACUUACAAUAACAAUAGGUAAAAAUAACUCUAUAUAAAUGAUUAUAUUGUUACCUUUUAAAAACAAAAACUAUAUUUGAUGUUUUAAAUAAUUACAAUGAUAGAAAUUAAAACAUUAAGCAAAUAAAUGUUAAAAAAAUAAUUAACAAUAACAACAACUAUAAAUAACAUUAAACCACAUAUUAUCUUUAAUUUUAUUGAUCAAUAACUCGCGGGUAGAGGUCAUUCAAACGAUUGAGAUUAUGCAUGUAUUUCAAAUUUUACAAUAACAUUAUUGUUAUAUUUAAGAAAACAUAUAUUUAGAAAUAUUUCAACUAUAUAGGUGUUUAUGCGCAACGUGCGGGUAUUCGCCUAGUACUAUAUUAUAAAGGAAACAUUUUUUCUUUCACCACAUUUAUUUGAAACUUCCAACUCUUCAUAUUUUCAUAUAAUAUACAUAAUUUAUUAACUUAAAUAUGUUUUUAGUUGUAAACAUUAUCAUAAAUGGAAGACUUCGUAAUUUAUUAAUAUGAUAUAUUUAAUUUGUUAACUUCAAUAUAUUGUUAAAUAAACAAUCUACAUUAAUAUAACAAAUAAGCUUAAAAAUUUAAUGUAAAAUUCAAAACAUAAAGUAAAAUAUCAAAUAAUGUUUAAAAAAAUUCAAUAUAUAGUUUUUUAACAUAGUUAAAAGGAAAAAGUUAUAUAUAAUAAAUAUCAAAGAACCUAAAUUUAUGAAUCGAAUUAACUAAAAGGUGUCUGAAAACUAUAUUUUUUAAUAACUAAAUUCAGUUCAGUUGUUUUUAAAUUAAUUUAAAAUAAUAAUAGUUAAAAAUGAUAGAAACUUAGAAAUUAAAUUAUGUUAGAUUAGAAACAAUUUUUGAUAAUUUAAAUAAUCAUCAUAAUGAAAUUAAAACAUCGCAAUUUUUUUUAAAAUUAAUAAAUCAUAAAAGUAGUAAAUUAAAAUAAUUGACAAAUAUAACUAAUGUUAUACUUAUACACAUGUAAAACAUGAGUAGAGACCAUUAAAUAAAUUGUUUUAAUAAGCGUUAUUUUAUCUAUUGUUCAAAUUAAUUAUAAUUUUAUAUAAACUAAAUAUAAUAAUUAUUAUAUUAUAGUUAAUAUAAAUGAUAUAAAUAUUAUCAAUAACAUAAGAUUACCAAAAGUUUGAAUUUUAUUCUGCGCAACGCACGUAUAUUCGUCUAGUAUAUUUAUAAAUGAAACAUUUUUUCUUUCACCACAACAAUUUGAAACACCAAACUUUUCAUAUUUUCCUAUAAUAUACUUUUUAACUUAAAUAUGUUAUUAAUUAUAAAUAUUAUCAUUAAUAGAAGACUUUUUAAUGUUAAAUGUGUAACCUAAAUUAAUAUAUCAAAAAAAACUUAAAAAUAUAGUGUAAAAAUUAAAACCUAAAGUAAAAUAUCAAAUAAAGUUUAAAAAAAUGCAAUGUAUAUUUUUUACAAGAGUAAAAAUAAAAUUAUUAAAUAUAAUAAACGUAAAAGAACAAGUAAAAUUAACUAAAAGAUCUCCAAAAACUAUUUUUUUUAUAUACUAACUGAAAUUCAAUUAAGUUUUUUUAAAAUUAAUUUAUAAUAAUAAUAGUUAAAAUAUCAUCAAGUUAUAAAUUAAAUUAUAUUACAUCACAAACAUUGACUGAUAAUUUAAAUAAUCAUCAUGAUGAAAUUAAAAUGUCGUUAAUUUUUCUUUUCUUUAGAGUUAAUAAAUCAUUACAUUAUUUAAUUAAAGUAGAUAAGAAAUAUAACUAAUUUUAUACACACGUAAGCAUGAGUAGAUACCAUUAAAUGAUUCAAUUUUAGUAAGUGUUAUUGAUGAGUUAUUAAUCAACUCUUUGAUCGAUUAGAUCUUUGUAACAGGUAUGCGAUGAACGUAAAAACAGUAAACAAAACACAAGUAUGAAUCAAGAUGUGUCGAAUGAUUAGAUUACUCGAUCCUCAGCAGAGCUCGACUAAGAACUUCCACUGUAGAGGAUUCUAGGGUUACAAAACAAGAACGAUAAAUUUGCUGAAUAAUAAAAUCUCUAAUCGUUAAUGAUCGUCCUUUUUUUUCUAGGAUGCAUGCAAGCAUCUAUUUAUACUAAACCCUACAAAACUCACGGAUGGACAAGCCCAUACCGGAGACACAUAUUGGACUAGCUAACAAGCCCAAUAGACGCAACACAAAAUACGACCCAACAAUAUCCCCCUUUGCGUCAAAUUGGAGUUAGACUACUUCUUCUUGCUUGGGCCAGCAGCAGGAACCUUCUUUACUGUAUCAAACAGACGUGUGAUAAGAGCAAGGAUAGUCUGUCUGAACCGAAUGUACCAUUGAAUCAUAUCAUCAAAGUACUUUACAUCAUCCGAUGUGUUCUGCUUGCAUCGAUGGAUGAUCCCUAAAACGUGUUCCAAACAUGCAGUGGUGUGUAGAGAUGUUUGUCUGCCAAGGCGAAAAGACAUUUCUGUCAUUCGUUCCUGGUAAACAUGACAGAGUUUCUCUUUGGGUCAAUCUUCCCAAUCUGCAUCAUGUUGAGAUCACUGGAAGAGCCAACAGGAGAUAUGGUAGGCUUCUUCUUGAAUACGCUCGCAAUCUCCUGAUCCAUCAGAGCAACUUCCAUGAUAUAACAUACAAGCAUCCUCUUAAAGUGGUCGAUGAUCGGACCAUAUUCAGCUUCGUUUGUAAGAAGGAUGUUGUGCAAGAUAAUCCAAUCAUGGGGAUUAAGGUUGGGAAGAUCUGCAAGUGAGAUGGCAUGUUCGGCUUUGGCAGAUCCCCUUAGUACCUUGAACCGAACGUUGGUGAAGUUGCCUUCCCUGUACGGCUUCAGGACCUGAACAUUGAUGAUUUUCUGAGCGCUCCAAGUUUGGUAUUGAGGUUGAGCUGCCCUCAGAUAAAAUUCAACUAAGUCCCGAUCAACCUGUGAAUGAGGAUGGGGGAACUCAGCAAUGUAGUCAAAGGCAUGAAAAACAAACGCCUUUCGGGUCAGUGGCAUGUCGAACUGAGAGUCGACAGUGUUAGAACAAUCUAAAGAGAUCACAGGUUCUAGCCACAAGAUACUUGGUGUUUCGAUGGCUUCUUUAAUCAGCCUCUCAAGAGUCCACGGAGGAAAAAGAGUUUUCCUGCUCUCGAGAAGAUUGUGGGCUUCUUUCUGUCUUCUUUCGGCUUCUUCAGCCUCUCUAGCCACACGAGUAUUGAUGUCAGCCUCUUUAUCUCGACCUUGACGCUUUAGGAGGUCGGCAAUUGUCUCUUUAUCAUCAUCGUCACUCUCCUCAGAAAUAUUUUUGCCUUUGUCUUUCACACCGGAAUCUGAGGCUUGGCCUACUGGAGGAGGUUCGGUUGUGUGAGUUGUUGUUGAUGUAGGAGGUGAUUGAAACACUUGUUCUUUUUCUCCCCCUUGUUUCGGAAUGGACACGAAAUCAAGGAGCCCCUCAAUUUUGCUGAGUAGAGAAAGGGCGGGAGCGAGCUUCUCUGCAAGGGUACGACGUACUGAAUAAUUGAUGAUUGGGUCAUGUGCUUCAAGGAUGUUGGAGAUAGCAGAGUGGACAUCCGAAACACACGAUUUAACCACCUCUCUUUCAGAUCGAAGAGAGUCAAUCUCCUGUUGACAGUUGGAGAGUUGAGUACUCUUGACCUUCAGAGCGGUAGUCUUCCUUGCGAGAGCAUCCAUGAGAGAGUUCUCGGCAGCUAAGUCUUCUUGAAGCUUGGAGAGACGCUCCUCAAUGGUGGUUCUGAAAGCUGAGUUGUCGUCAGAGAUGGUUUGACGAAGCGAAGCGAACGACUUCAGCUCAGAAGCGACUGAUGUAGCCAACUGGUUGAUAAUGGGUUCCAGCGUAGUCUUGGUGGCUUCAGCACUUUCCUGUAAAGAUUUCAACAAGAAAGAAGCAUCAGUGAAUAGUUUAUCGACUUUUUCGGUCGCUGCCUCACAAGCUUUGGUUGAGGCAUCUAUGGCUGCAGUGGCGGAAUCAAGGGAAACUUGAUGAGCUUUGGAAAAAGCCUCAACAAUUUUCUGAAUUGCAGCUUCAGAUAUGGAGGACUGAGAUGUGGAAGACGAAGCGAUGAGCGAAUCUAUUUUGUCAUGUAGCUCCUUGAGAUGCCUCUUUGUGACAGGAGCAUCGUCAUCGUCGUCACUUUGAACUUGAAACGGACUAUAAUAGACCGAAUCAAAAGUCAUAUUCUCCCCGCCAAGGAGAGGUUCUUCUUCCUCUGAAGCAUGAGCAGGAGAAGAUGGUGGUGGUGAAACUGGAGGCUCGGUAGGAGUAGUAGUUUCGGGUUGGGUGGUGCGUUCGGUUGUUGGUGUGGGUUCGGGUGCUGAGGUGGAUUUUGGUGCGUCAGUAUGAACCCCCGUAUCAGAUACGUUGGUUCUAACAUCUGCAGUGGUGGUGGUUGUUGCUUCGGUAAAGAUUGGUGGUGGUAUUGGGAUGGAAGUAGGUGGUAUUUGAGUGGUGGAGGUUAUGGGGGGAAUAGAAAAAGGAAUUGUAACGGGUGGAGAAGAGAUAGGAGAAGUAGAAAUAUGUAUCUCUGGGGUAGGCGAACGUGGUGGAGUGUUGCCACGUUGAGAUCCAUCCGAAUCAGAACCCUUGUCCUCAGAUUCGCUUGAGGAUGAAGCGAUAAUCAACUUUCGUCUCGGUUGGGUUUUUCUCCUCUUCUGUGGUGGAGACUGAGUAGCCUUGGUGGUUUUCCUUUUCUUGGGAGAUGAGCCUUUUGCUCCCUUUGCCACAUGUUUUCCCUUAUCAGCCUUCUUGCCUCUAGGAGCAGGCUUGUCUGUGUCAUGAAUUGAUUUCAACAUCUCUGGAGUAAGAUCCUUCGAACCAGAACGUCUGAACUCCUUGUACGUUUGAAUGAUCCGGCNNNNNNNNNNNNNNNNNNNNNNNNNNNNNNNNNNNNNNNNNNNNNNNNNNNNNNNNNNNNNNNNNNNNNNNNNNNNNNNNNNNNNNNNNNNNNNNNNNNNNNNNNNNNNNNNNNNNNNNNNNNNNNNNNNNNNNNNNNNNNNNNNNNNNNNNNNNNNNNNNNNNNNNNNNNNNNNNNNNNNNNNNNNNNNNNNNNNNNNNNNNNNNNNNNNNNNNNNNNNNNNNNNNNNNNNNNNNNNNNNNNNNNNNNNNNNNNNNNNNNNNNNNNNNNNNNNNNNNNNNNNNNNNNNNNNNNNNNNNNNNNNNNNNNNNNNNNNNNNNNNNNNNNNNNNNNNNNNNNNNNNNNNNNNNNNNNNNNNNNNNNNNNNNNNNNNNNNNNNNNNNNNNNNNNNNNNNNNNNNNNNNNNNNNNNNNNNNNNNNNNNNNNNNNNNNNNNNNNNNNNNNNNNNNNNNNNNNNNNNNNNNNNNNNNNNNNNNNNNNNNNNNNNNNNNNNNNNNNNNNNNNNNNNNNNNNNNNNNNNNNNNNNNNNNNNNNNNNNNNNNNNNNNNNNNNNNNNNNNNNNNNNNNNNNNNNNNNNNNNNNNNNNNNNNNNNNNNNNNNNNNNNNNNNNNNNNNNNNNNNNNNNNNNNNNNNNNNNNNNNNNNNNNNNNNNNNNNNNNNNNNNNNNNNNNNNNNNNNNNNNNNNNNNNNNNNNNNNNNNNNNNNNNNNNNNNNNNNNNNNNNNNNNNNNNNNNNNNNNNNNNNNNNNNNNNNNNNNNNNNNNNNNNNNNNNNNNNNNNNNNNNNNNNNNNNNNNNNNNNNNNNNNNNNNNNNNNNNNNNNNNNNNNNNNNNNNNNNNNNNNNNNNNNNNNNNNNNNNNNNNNNNNNNNNNNNNNNNNNNNNNNNNNNNNNNNNNNNNNNNNNNNNNNNNNNNNNNNNNNNNNNNNNNNNNNNNNNNNNNNNNNNNNNNNNNNNNNNNNNNNNNNNNNNNNNNNNNNNNNNNNNNNNNNNNNNNNNNNNNCCCGAACAUGACCUCCUGUAACAAGUUUGUUGAUAUCCUUGAAAUGGAGAUGGGAAAGCCUUCGGUGCCAUAGCUAGCUUUCAUCAGAAUGUGCGUAGUAAGUCUAAAGUACUGUAACUUUGUUGAUGUUUGCACGGUUGUGUUUGUCUGUAACGCCUUAUGUUCAAAUCUAAUGUCUUUAAUUUUCCUUAUGAUUCCGACAUUAUCAUACAACUAGAUUCAAUUUGAUCCACACCAUACCAGCUUCAUAAGUACAUCUCUUCCUUAGUAAACGUCUUUUUAGCGAAGCCGUCAUAUCAGAACAUCGAAGUACUCAUGCAUGGAGUACCUCAUAGUUCUUUUCCUUUCCGAAGAAAUCCCCGAAGUACCACUCGUGUAGUACGUCAAGUUCAAUCCAAGGAUUCAUACGGUUGAUCUAUCACUGAGGAAUGUGUACAUAAGGGUGAUAUAUAAUCAAGGUUCUACAGGUUUAGAAUUGAUGAUUCCACUUUAACUUCCUUUCCUCAUGAGGAUGCGAAUGAAAAGAAGAAUCAGUUAUUCGACUAUCUUUUCAAUCUUAAUUAUAUACGACUUGUAUACACGAGAUUUUGAUCGUUGAACCAUGUAUGAGUUCUAACAUGAACUUCAGGACGGAGAACUGCCCAAGACUACGAGUAAUCGCAUCGUCAUGUGAACAAACUUAGAACCCAGUAUGACUCCUGUAAUCAGAUCGCCCUACAGUCUAAACACCUACGGAGAUACAAGAACAGCCCGGACAACUUAGCGAACUACACAAAAAUAGAAUUGGAAGACUAGGCUUCUCACCCUGGAGAACUCCGGUCUUAUUCUUCUAGAGGUCGACGGAUUGCAUCAUAUGUACCUCAGCUAUUGAGGACUCCGUCCAGAUUUUCCAUUAGAAAUCGUUGUCUCUGCCUCGCAUAGAUGAAUUGGUUGAGCAAAUGCAAGGAAAGAAUUGUUUUCAGAAAUGGACCUGAGAUCCGAAUAUCACCAGUUUGAGUGUUAGGGAAGGACGUCCGGAAGACUACCUUCUGAACUCGAUGCGGACACUUCAAGUCCGUAGUGAUACCCCUCGGAUAGGACCAAUACGCCCAUAGUAUUCAAGAGCUAAAUGGGUAGGGUACGUCUUUCUUACUUGGAUCAGUUCGUCAUUUCUCCAUGUAAUGACUUACUUAUCUACCCUCGUAGUAAGAAGGAACCCAUGGAAACAUUACCCUUAGAGAAACUUCUCGCAAAGUUCUCUGAACACGAGUUUUGGAAUUAAAGAGUCAAAAUUUCCUAAGACACACUAUUAGUGAUGUGGAAAUCCUUGAGUACUCUGUCAAUUUAUCCAAAACCGUUGGGAAUUGGUCGGCACCAAAGACGCCGACAGAAAUUCACCAAAUUCUAGGUCUUACAGACCUACUGUCAUAGUUCAUCAAGAACUCCUCGCAAAUCACAGAAACCCUUACGACUUUGACCCAGCAGAGGGUGGCCUUUGACUGGGAAGUUAAGCAAGAAAAAGAAACCUUGGAAAUUCCAAGUGAGAGACCAAAUUCUUUAGGAAGUCUCACUCUGGGAAUGGCAUAAUACGCUUCGUAAAGCGUGGAAAGCUAAAUCCAAGAUAGUCAAGACCCUCGAGAUCCUUACCAGAAUCGGUCCUGUAUCUCGCAUACUAGAUCUACUCCGCGAACUCAGUAACGUACAUUUUACCCUUCGCGUCCCGAUCUUGAAACCGUACCUUUCCGUCGGGACUCUCGUAAUCCCACUCGACGAGAUCGAGAUUCACGAGAUCCUCGCCUUCGUAUAAGAACCGUAGUGACCCUCGCUCGAGAGGUCAAGCGGACGAAGCAGCGCCGCCUCCGUUUAGUGAAGGUUCGUUGGGAUACCAACCCAGGACCCGAAUUAACUUAUGAGCGCUAGAACCAAUCGAUUAGGAAGUUUCGACCUCAUGACUCGAUCAUUCACACCUACUUCCUUACCUAAAUUCUAAUUUUGGGACGAAAUUCCCUCUAAUGAGGGGAUUAUGUGACAACCCGGAAUUUUCAUUUGGUCAAACCCUAAAAGUCAAUCACUCCAUAUUAAAAGUCAAGCUCACUUUUAUUUGUUUAUAGUAAAUUAAGGUUCGUUUGAUUAUUUUAAUAAUUAAUCUUUAAACGAACGGGUGAACGGAUGGGCCGUCUCGAGUCUUGAAAUUUCUAAACCGCGAAUACCACGUAGCUUAGAAGUUCACGGCCAAACUUUUAUGUUUGGGCCGUAAACUCCCUCAAAAAUCGUAAACUCAUGCCUUAAGCAUGAGUUUACUCCCCAAAGUAGAUCACUUUUCAUUUUUACCCAAAAGAGUAAACUCCAAAAACUCCCUCAAGUAUCAUCCAAGUUUUUGCUCAAAAUCUUCAAACUAGUAAGUGUUUCUAGCCCUUUCAAGUUAGUAUAACACUUAAUCUAGUGAUUGUACAUCUUUUCAUCCAUCCAUUUAUGUGUUUUGACUAGAUUUCCAAAACACCAAGAACACCAAGAACACACACUAGUGUUCUUGGACUUUAAGUUCAUUUCAAGCUUCCACAAAGUAAGUACUUCUAUCCUAGAGUCAUUUAAAGCUUGCUAUACAUAUUUAUACCAAGGAAAAGUCCCAAGAACACCAAGAACAAAGUGUUCACGGUUUUGGGAGGCUCCCAAAACCGUAAACACCAAGUUUUGUGCCAAGAGGUGCUUUAGGGUGUCUAGAUGCUUCAUUAUGCCUUAGGGACUUGUCUAGAUCCAUCCUUGAUGUGUUUAUCACAUAAAAGAACAAGAAAAAAAUCAUUUAUAUGUUUUUACGGUUUUGGGAUCUCCCAAAACCGUAAACACCCCAAAAGGUGUUUAAAUGUCCCAUAUCUACUCCUUAUUCCUAGAAUCUAACCUAGGCUAUUACCUUGAAGUGUUUAGGACUUGAAAACACCAAAAUACCUUAGUCCAUGAGAGUUUACGGUAGUAAACUCAUGGAGAAAUGGUCCUUAGACCGUAAACUCCAUUUAGGAGUGUUUUGAUGCCACACAACACUUCCUAAGGCUUAAACAUGAAGUAGGAAUGCUUGGAAUAGCUUAGAAAACUUCAAAACAACAAAUGGUCACAAGGUUAGGAGCUUACGGAUGUAAAACCAAGAGUUUACAACCGUAAACUCAAGGGGUGUUGGUCUUUAGGGAGUAAACUCAUUUUAGGGGUUCCCUUGAACCCUAAAACCCAAUAGCCUUGCCCUACAACACUUAGAUGCAACCCGUGAGACUUAUAACACUUGUAUAAGUGUUUAGCAUGUCCUAGGGUGUCUUGACUAGUUUAUUAGUUGUUUAAAGACUAAUUGGAUACAUAUAUGUGAUAUUAUAUGUUAACUAGGAUCAUAGAGUGUGUUCAAGACUUCACUUGACACCUAGCAGUCCUACCUCUUCAUUCAUCCAUACCACUCACAACAGGUGAGUUCAUACCCCUUAAUAAAUGUUUUAAAUGUUUUUAAAUGCUUUAUGAGGGGGGAUAUAAGUAGAAUCAUGCUAGUUAUUAUAUCAAUCACAUGUGAUUAAUAAGCAGCAUUUAAAUCAUUUACUACUCAUUAGCCGUUUUACCAAAUAGUUUCCUUCAAAUGGUUUUUCAUAAACAUUUUAUAGGUUUAAAACUCCUUAUUAAACUGUUCAUUUUACUCUGUAUGUUUCAUUUCAAACUCAUUUACAAUUGUGUUUCAAACAAAUGUUUCUUUAUACUUAAACUGUUUUAUCAAACCCAUGCUUUCAACCCGUUUUAUAGAUUGACAUCAAGUCAAUCUUUUCUUAGAUAAUAAUUAUGUUCAAAGGUUUUACAAAACUUAUUUUAUGCUUUUAUAUUAUCAAUUGCAUGCCUAUAUAUGUAUAGUUAUAUAAGAAAUGUUUAAAAGACUUAGGAAGGCUAUCCACCCUAUUUCCUUUUCGCGCUUGAGAUGUGGUCUGGUGGGAUAUCGGGUACCCGUCCGAAGGUCAUUUAAAUAUUAGUUAUAUAUCAUGUGUAUAUAUAUAGUCAUAAAGGUUUUUCCAGUUCAUUUAGUACCCUUGGGUAGCAAGGGUAUACUUCCAUGUUCAUACGUACCAGUUACAUUACUAGUAAGCUACCAUAUGGGUAGUUUACGAAGAUACUAGAACUAUUACUAGAACACGAUAUCAUACAAUGAGUCAGUUCAUUCAUGAGUCAAUACUUGCUAGAUAGAGAGAGAACACACGUUACAGCUAGUACACACAGUACAUUACUAUACUAUUACAUAGAUACAUCUACAUGAGUACAUUUACAUGAAUACGUUUACAUAUAUACGCUUACAUUAGUACAUUUACAUAGAUACAUCUACAUGAGUACAUUUACAUGAGUACACUCACAUUAGUACGUUUACAUAGAUAACAUAUGAUGAAUUACUAGUACAUUUUAUAUGUAUAGAUUCUGUUAUAUAAUCCUCAUUCUUAUCUUUACUUUGUGAUACAAUCACAUAAUCGGCGAGAUAGAUUGGAUUUAAUAUCCUAGUACCAAAGGAUACUUUGCGGGAUUAACCAUUCCUAAAAUCUCUGUUAGCUACAGAGGUAAAAGCACAUCCACGGAUGUCAACGGUUGAUACCAUUACAGGUAUACUUUAAGGGACUAACUAUUCCUAUACCCAGCUGUUAGCAACAGAGGUAAAUGUACAUCUACGGAUGUCUUCAGUUGACACUGUUAGUUAUCCUAGUACAAAAGGAUAAUACUUAGGUUAUUUAUAUUAUUCCCUCUAUCUUGUGACUCAUUCACAUAACCGAUGAGGUGAAUUAUUUGAGUAUCCUAGUACCAAAUGAUACAAAUUCUUGUGAUAAUAAUAGUAGCAGCACAGUUAAGUCUUGGUAGAAGACUACAUUCAGAACAGUUGGGUCUUGGUAGAAGACUACAUUUAGAACAGUUAAGUCUUGGUAGAAGACUACAUUUAGAACAGUUAGGUCUUGGUAGAAGACUCCCUUUUAUAAUAGUAGGAAUCAUAGGGAUUUCUAGGGUUUUUCAAACGUUUACAGUUGUUUUACAAACAUUUUCAUACUUACACGAACUUUCUUUCAAAACAUUUUCAAGUCUUUCAUUACAUGUCAAACAAAUACUUACAUACAAAUUAAGACACAUUAAUACUUAUGAUCUCACCAGCUUUAAAGCUGAUACUCUCUUUCAAAAUAACUUGUAUCCUCAGGUCAACAGUAGACAGGUACCGAUGCAAGGUUUAGAGAAGAUGGAGCUCGUUCAAGACUCAUCUUUCAUUUUGAUUAUACUUUAGUGUCUAUUAUAAUUUGACAGAACACUCUUGUAUUAAAAUUAUAUUAUUAAUGCAAUGGAUGAUGUUGUUGCUUGUUUACUACUUUUCAUUGUUGUGAUACUGUACAUGACGUCCUCCGCCCCAGAACGUUUCCGCCGUUCAUGGUUUUGGGGUGUGAUAGCGUGGAUAUUCGCCUAGUCAUACAUACUUAUAAAGCUAGCAUUUUUUUCUUGAAUCUCAUGCAUUUGAAACCCCAUUUUUUAACUUCCUCAAACCACAUUCAUUUGAAACCCUCUUUUUUAAUUAAUGCAACUCAAAAGUUUUCUUAAUUAUGAUAUAACACUCAAAAGUUUUAUAACUUAUAUUAUGUUUAAUUAGCAUUUAGUGAAAAGUUUACUAUAAAAAGGUCAAUUUUUUGGGAAGACAUUCAUACAAAUUAUAUACAAAUUUCAGAAAGAAAACAAACUUAAAGGUUUUUGUGUUGGGUUUAGGUCUUAUGACCACUUUUGGAGAUAUGUUAUUAUAUUAGAGCUUUAAUUUGUAAGUUUGUUAUACUAAUUCGUUUUUAUAUUUUCUUCGUUUUUGGAUUAUUGUAAUACAGUUGUUGUAUAUUGUGGUUUAAUCGUUAAUAUAUUGAUCAUAUGUUAUAUAGGGUGAUGUCGAAAAUAUUUUAAAGACAAAACUUCAAAAAUGGUCCCUGUGGUUUUUGAAAAUAUCAAGUUUAGUCCCUAAGUUUAAAAAACCUCACGGAUCGUCCCUGUGGUUUCAAAACUUUUAACAUUUGGUCAUUCAGGCUAACUCCGUUACCAUUUAGCCGUUAAGUCAGGGACAUUUUUGUCAUUUCACUUCUUAGGGACCAUUUAUGAGGUUUUGUAUUCCUUUUUUUUUAAAUAAAUAAUAAAUAAAUAAAAUUUAAUAUGCAAGGGGUCCCACCUCUCUCUCUCUCUCUUGAGGUUUUUGCCUCCAUCUUGUCAUUACCAAUUCUGAUUACCAACCGGAUGGUGGCGUUUUUGAUAAGGAAAAGAUCUGAUUUCUCGAUCGAUUCUCCCUCUAAUGUCCACAAGCAAACACUUUAGCCUCGCUACUUCUGCUUCUAAUCCUACUUAACUCUGAACUCUUCUCAUCAAUUGUUGAUUCAAUGUUUUCAAUCUAACUACUUCGUCUUCUAAUGAAGCAGCACGUGCCUUCUUCUUUUCACGAUACUUUCUCAUAGCUUACCGGUUUCCUGAUGGACGAUUCUUACCUUUUUUGUCGGAGGAUUCAGCGGUGUCUUCUGUAGGGGUUUUGUCGUCAUCGCUCGUAGCAGGUAGGAUUUUGGUGUGGACAUGGUAACAUGUGUGCGUGUGUGAUGAAUCAGGUCCCGGAGGGUUGCAUGUGUGCUUAUGAGUACACGCGUGUGUGUCGUUGAAGAUUUCAUCGAAGAAGUUGUUCAUGGAACCACUGCUCGGGAUAUCACCCACAAACAUCUCGUGGUUGGAGAAAUCGAGUUCUCCAUCAUCCAUUGCUUCCGAUUUGUAACCUAUAAACCCUAGAAACACAGAUAAUGAAGAUAAAUAAACACAGAAACUAAUUUUGAUGCAAAUUGAGCUCUAAAUAGAAGUAGCCACAAAAAAUGAUAACUAAUCAAGUAAUCAUCUAGAGAUUAUCUCUGGAUAUGCUAAGAAUUUUAACAGAAUUCAACUAUAAUCGUCUAAUUGAUCAAUACACAGUAACUGACCAAUUUGAUUGAAGAAAUUUACCGAUAAAGAAACCCUGGAACUAAGUGAACUGCUUAAUUGAGUAAUUAAGCAAUUGAGCAUUAUAGAUGAAGAUGGUAAUUUGGGGCGAAAGAGAAAAUCCUUUUCAUAACAAUGUCAAUGGAUGAAAAAGAACGAUCGAAGAAGAUGGGCCACUGGCAGAGAGAUUCCCGGAAAGGAAGAGAGAGUCCUUUUUUUGUAAAAGAAAAGUAAUAGAAAGGCUAAAGGGGUGGGACCCCUUGCAUAUUAAAUUUUAUUUAUUUAUUAUUUAUUUUUAAAAAAAAAAAAGAAUAGAAAACCUGAAAAAUGGUCCCUGAGGAGUGAAAUGACAAAAAUGCCCCUGACUUAACGGUUUAAUGGUAACGGGGUUAGCCGUAAGGACCAAAUGUUAAAUGUUUUGAAACCACAAGGAUGAUCCGUGAGGUUUUUUGAACUUAGGGACUAAACUUGAUAUUUUCGAAAACCACAGGGACCAUUUUUGAAGUUUUGUCUAUUUUAAAUAUGUUUUUUUGUUUUGUAAUUGUACCGUUUCAAAAGGAUAAUUAAUUAAAACUCAUACAUAUGUUAUACUUUCAAUCUCUCUCUCUCUCUCUGUCNUCAAAUGCUUUUAAUAAUGAUUGUAAAAAUUUCAACAUGUGUUACUUAAUUGAUUAAUUAAUAAAAAUAUUAAUGUUUUGAAACUCCUAACUCCUAAACUUAUAUUAUUUAAUUUGUUAGUUAACUAAAAUAUUUUUCCUACAUAAAUAUAACAUUUUUUAUGUUUGGUUACUCGUAUUUGUUAAUGUAAUUAGAAAACAAGGUGUACAUAGAAUGACUACUUCAAUUUCGCAUAAGAAUCGAUACCACUAGAUAUGUAUGUUGUCUUUAACCGGUGGUGGGAGAUCCACAUACCCUUUUUAAUUAUUUAUAUUAAUGCUUAGUAAUAUCUAUUUAUUAUUCCUAUUCACCUUAAUUUUUAGGUAAAAUUAAGGAAGAGGAUUCUCGGCGCACCAACAUAAAGUCAAACGUACAGCUUGCAAAAUAUGUAAUUAAAAUUAAAUAUCAUAUUUACUAAUCGACUUAUUUUAAAACUCUUCAUGACAUUUAUGUAUAAUGAUAUAUUUUGUAUGACUUCAUUUUUAAUUUUAAUGUUUAAUAUUUGAAAGUUCAAUUAUGAAACAUUGGAUGUUUUGUUGGAAUAUAAAUAGUAUAAUACAAAGUUUAUUAGUUCAAUAUUGUUUAUUAAUAGCUCAUUUAAAACAACUUAUUUCUUAUUUUAUCUAAAAAAUAUUAUCGGACAUAAGAAAAGUAGAUUAUAUUAAUGUUAUACAAAAACUUAUAAUAUAUAUGAGAUAUUAUAAAAGUAAAAAAAAAGUUUAUAAGGUAUAGACUAUAUUAGAUAGUAUCAAAAUAUAAAUUGAUGGAUUUUUUAUGUUAUUUGAUAACUCGGUUAAUGCCCAAAACAUGACUAAAAACGUAAAUUUCAACAUGUUUCUAUUUUUUCCCAUAAUUAUUUUAACCACUUAAAUGCAUUCUUACACAACACGCGAGGUUACACCUAGUAUACUUAGGAAGCAUUUUUUUCAUCAUAUUUAUUUGAAACUCCCAUGAAUUUUCAGUUUCUUCCUAAUAAUGAUUAUAAGUUGGUUGAUAAGGUUAAAUAAAUAUCAAACCUAAAAUGUAAUCAUAUAUAAACUAAAUUUCAAUAUUAAAAGAGUAUUUUACUUGUACUUAUAAAGUUAUGUUUUUAACUUUUAACAUAUUAUACUUAAUUUGUUAGUUUUAAUAUGAUGUUGUAUGUAAACCAUUAUCAUUUUAAAGCUACAACUUUUGAACAAUUUGUAUAAAAUACUUAAAUUGUUAAUUUAAAUAUAACAUUACAGGUCAACUUAAAUAUAAAUUUUAGGUCAACUUAAAAAACCUAAAUAAUAUUUUGUAAAUAGUUAAAAGUGAUAAAUUGUAGUGUCUUUGUAAUAAUGAUUAUAAGUUGGUUAAAAGGUUAAAUAAAGGAAAUAUGUUUCCUUUCACCGUAUUCAUUUGAAACCCUAAUGACUUUUCAAUUUAUUUCUAAUAAUGAUUAUAAGUUGGUUAAUAAGGUUAAAUAAAUAUCAAACCGUAAUCAUAUAUAAACUAAAUUUCAAUAUUAAAAGAAUAUUUUUACUACUACUUAUAAAGUUAUGUUUUUAACUUUUAACAAAUUAUACUUAAUCUAUUAGUUUUAAUAUGAUGUUGUAUGUAAACCAUUAUCAUUUUAAAGCAACAACUUUUGAACAAUUUGUAUAAAUUACAUAAAUUGUUAAUUUAAAUAUAACAUUACAGGUCAACUUAAAUAUAAAUGUUGGUUCAACUUAAACAAACCAAUGAAUAUUUUAUAAAUAGUUAAAAGUGAUAAAUUGUAGUGUCUUUCUAAUAAUGAUUAUAAGUUGGUUAAUAAGAUUAAAUAAAUAUCAAACCUAAAGUGUAAUCAUAAAUAAAUUAAAUUUCAAUAUUAAAAUAAUAUAUUUACUUUUGCUUAUAAAGUUAUGUCUUUAACUUUUAACAUAUUAUACUUUGUUUAUUAUAUUUAAUAUGUUGUAUGUAAACCGUUAUUUGUUUAAAGCUACAAUUUUUGAACAGUUUGAACAAAAUACUUAAAUUGUUAAUUUAAAUAUACAUUACAGGGUCAACUUAAAUAUAAAUUUUAGUUCCACUUAAAAACCCAAAGAAUAUUUUGUGAAUAGUUAAAAAUGAUAAAGUGUAGUGCUAAAUGGAAAAACUAAAUUAUUAUCUCAAUUUAACUAAAAUAUUUCCUAAAGAUAUUUUUAUAAUCGUUAAAAAUUUUCAAAUAAGUAGCUUAAAAUAACUUAUAAUAACAACAGUUAAAAAUAACUCUAUAUAAAUGAUUAUAUUGUUACAUUUAAAAACAAAAAACAAUUUUGAUGUUCUAAAUAAUUACAAUGAUAUAAAUUAAAACGUUAAACAAAUAAAGUUUAAAAGGUAAUUAACAAUAACGACAACUAUAAAUGACAUUAAACCAUAUAUUAUAUUUAAUUUUAUUCAUGAGUAACCCGUGGUAGAGGUCAUUCAAACGAUUGAGAUUAUACAGUUUUAAUAGAUGUAUAUAUUAUCAUAUAAUUCAUAAUAAUCAAUAUAUUAUAUCAACUUAGUAUACAGAUUCUUAUAUCAAAUUUAACGACGUUAUUGUUAUAUUUUAAAAACAUAUAUUUGUAAAGAUUUCAACUCUAUAGGUCUUUCUGUACAACGCAUGAGAAUUCGCCUAGUAUCUAAUAUAAUACAUAUCAAAAUAUUUAAACCUCAUACACUUGAAACUCCAAUGUCUUUUCGAUUGUCUUUUAAUAAUUAUUAUAAUUAUAAAUCAUUAAUAUUAUGAUAAAUUUUGAUAUUAUGACAUAUGUAAGUUAAAAAUAUAACAUUAGGUGGAAGUUAAAAGAGUCAUGACAUUAAAUAAGCAAUCAAUGAAAUUAAACAGUUUUAUCAUAUAUGUACAUAUAAAUAGUUAACUACAAGCAUCCAAAAAAACACUUCAUUUUUAGUAAAAGUUUCACUAUUGAGUUGACGUACGCUAAGAUAAUUAAGCUUAAUCUAGUGAAAGAGUAUUGGGUUAUCCAUGUGCAAUUGUGUAGGAUAUGGGAAACGCUGAAUCAUAAAAAUAAAAAACGAUAUAAUAGGGUUGGAGAGGGUAUGUAUUGAUAAUAAGUUUUUUUUUAUUUUAUUUUUAUUUUAUAGUUAUUAAUGAUAGAUGUAUAAAUAUGAUGUUAAAUAAAUUAAUCUUUGAAUUAUGUGUCGUGCAUUUUGUUAGGGUGAAUCAAUUCAGAUUUUCAUCACAAAGAAAAAUAUUGACAAGUACAAAGUUAUUUUGGAAGAAAAAGAUGUCUACACUAUUAAGAAUUUUAAAGUCGCCAAAUAAAUAUGAUUCUUCGUAAAAAUGUAUUUUUCUUUGGCUAUUCCAGAUAGACAAUCUACACUGUUAUAAAUGGGUUUCCUUGUAAAAAUGUGUUUUUCUUUGGUUGAUGAUUAAAUACAAUUUAUAUGUUUUAUAUAAUCUCAGAAGUUUUUUUGAAAAUAAAAAAGUUACUAACUAUAUGGAUUUAAUUUUCACUAUUUUAUUUCCUUUUUAUGUUUCAAUUUUUUUAAAUGUUCUAACAUUCUGAUGAUGAUCAAAAAGUUAAUAACUAUACGGGUUUAAUUUUCACUAUUUUAUUACAUUUUAUGUUUCAAGUUUUUUUAAGCUUCUAACAUCAUCAUUAUCGUUUAAAUAAUUGACAUCACAUCUUAUUAUAUUAACCCUUAAUCUGUCUAGGUAAUUAUUUAGUUAUAUAUUAUCAAUAUUAGACAUUAUAUAUAAUUUUAGUUUUUAGUGUUUUUUUAUGCUUCAACUUUUAUUUUUAAUCUUUGAAGUUUUACUUUGUUUUUGUUAUUCAAUUCAUUAUUAGUUAAAAUAUUAUUUAAAUUAGCUUUAGUGAAAUAUUAUGAAUAACAUAUAUAGAAAUAUUGGAUACCUAAUAAUAUUCAUAUAUAAUGAUAUUCAUAUAUUUUAGUUCCUUUUAAUAUUGUUUUACAUAGCAAAACUUAGUAUUAUCCACUAUGUUUAUUCUCUUACAUUUUAGAUUUUGAAUUUAUUAAUGUAAAAAUGUUUCCUUAUGUUUUAAUGUUACUUAUAAUAAGUUAAACUUGUGUUAAUUAACCACACAAUAAUUACAAAAUAAUACACAAUCUAAGAAUAGAAGCCUUCAUUAUGAGUCGAAUGUCCACUAUGUUUUUAGUUAAAUUCUUAUUGAAGUAUUAAUUAUAUAGGAUAUGUUUCAUUUUAAUCCCUAUUAAAAUAAUUUUUGGGUUCGUCUCUAUUUACAACUUAAAGUAUCCUACAACCCAAACAUCUUAGGAUUAUUCUAAAUAACAUAUAAAUUCAGUAUUUUAACUUGGCAAUAUAUUUCUUACACACGAAGAUUCGCUUAAUACAUGAAAUAAAAGAGUAAAUAGAAAUGCUAGCAAUAUAUUAGUAUAUAAAUGGGUAAAAAAAGCAUAUCACAUAUAGAAUUCAAACACUUUCUACAAUAAAAGAAAUAAAAAAUAUAUAUAAAUAGUUUUCAAUAACCGAUUUAAAUUAUUGAAAAAAUUGGUAACCCACGUUAUCCUUAAUUUCAACAUCUCAUUUCAUCUAACUUUUUACUUUGUAAGGCUAUACAGAAUGGUCGGUCGCUAAGGAAUCGUCAAACUCGCUAUGAAGAAGAGAAUACCGCCCCCUAGCACUCGCUAAGCUAUUGAGUGCUCGUUAUGUGUUUGGCAGAAAAGAUUGGAGACUUUUGAUUGGUUGGAGCAUAUUUCCCAUGCAUUGCUAUAUAAAACUGUCCCCUUCCAAUAUGCUUCCAAAAUUAAAUUGCAAAGUAAAUCUUCAAGACUUCAACAACCUCACACUUUAAUUUAUACGGUUUUAAUAUUUUAAACCUCCAAAAUUAAAUUUCCAACUUAACUUUUCACCAUUUUUUUUUAUUUAAAUACAAAAAAAACAUCUUUAGAAAAAAAAACUCAUAACAUUCAAAUACUAUAUGGGGCUCUAAAAAAACUCAUAACAUUCAAAUACUAUUUGGGGCCAGAAAUGCACCCCAUAUUCAAAGUUUUAACAUGAUCAUACUAUUUAUUAUUUAAUUUAAUAAAUAUACUCCUCCCACAAAGAUAUAUGUAUGAUAUGUAAUUUAAUCCUUUUAUUAAAGAAUUAUAAAAACGCAAUGAGGAAUGAGGAAGGUAAUUUAAGUUUAUUAUAAUGNNNNNNNNNNNNNNNNNNNNNNNNNNNNNNNNNNNNNNNNNNNNNNNNNNNNNNNNNNNNNNNNNNNNNNNNNNNNNNNNNNNNNCUAUAAAAUUUAGUUAAAGCUAUGUUUCUGUUUUAGAUUUUGGAGUAAAUCCGUUUUGAACAGCAGGUCUGUUUUAGAGACCUUGCUGUGAUUACUCUUUUCUCAACUCAUAGCUUCAUUACUUCUCCUUUCUAACCUUUAGUCCUUCUAAGAUGGAUUUUAAAAGUUUAAAAUUUUUGCAAGUGUGCUAUUGAAAAUGAAGAUAAACCCAAUUGUGCUACUGAAAAUGAAGAGCUUGUUCAGGUAUCUCAAUUUCCAGACAUACCCUUUUGGGUUUUUCACUUUCCUGAAAUACCCUUUUUGAUCUUUUACAAUUUCCAAAAAUACCCUUCUUGGUGCCUAGGAGUUACAGUGUUACCAGUUGCAGUUGUAAUAUAUAUAUAUAUAUAUAUAUAUAUAUAUAUAUAUAUAUAUAUAUAUAUUAAAACAAAAAAAGAAUUAUUUCAUAAUAAUUAAAUUAAAAAGAAAAUGAAAUGCUAUGAAUAUUACCACUCCCUACCAAAUGCUAAGGUUAGAUGCUAAAUUAUCAAAAAUGAUGUGGCACUCUAAAAUCUAAUAUGGCAAGAUGCCAAGAAUGUUACCACUCCCUUUAACCUAAAAACUGAUACUUAAAAUAUCCACAAUGUAUUGACCUAAUUAAAAUUAAUUAAAAUUUAAUUGAUUGACACAUUAUUAUUUUCCUAUACUAAAAAAAUCCUACUAUAAACUCUUCAAAGUUUAUUGGAUCAUAUUUUUAGUUAUUAAAAGGUUUCAUAUCUUCCAUUAAACUCCAGCCAAAAUAUACAUUGAACUCUUCAAAGUUUAUUGAAUCAUACUUUUAGUUAUUAAAAUGUUUCAUUUUUCAAUUGAAAUCUAUAUUCAUUGAAUGUCAUACAAUCAUAAAAUUCAAUUCAUUGAAUCCAAAUUAUACAUGCCACAUCUUUAAACUUUCUCUACAAACUAUCCAUUAUGCAUACUCUUACCACUCUCCAUGUCAUGCCCAAAGUAAUGAGUUGGCUGCUUGCCACAGCAUACACACCAACUCCUACGGGAAUGUUGUAGAGGUGGUGUUGUAUUAACGGUGACAUAUCGAUGAGGAGAACCAUGGCCUCUGCAACACUAAAUCAAAAAGAAUUUCACUCAAUUCCCCUUCCCACGUUGGAGCUUUAAUAGUGAGGUGGGCGAAUGCUGUGAGGACUAUACCCACCACCUUUAAUAUGCACUAAGUUUGUAGAUAUAAAAAUGCUAAACGUUUCUAUAUCUACCUAUCUUGUGUUCCUUCCCAGCCUUCUAUUCAUUUAAUUAAAAACAGUUGUCUCCAUUUUAUUGUUUUACUAGUUUGAGAAUGUAAAAUGAUGACAAAGGUUUUAAUAUUCAUAAAAUUAAAAACAAUUGUCUCCAUUUUAUAGUUUUAUUAGAUUGGGAGUGCCAAAACUAAAAUGAUGACCAAGGUUUUAAUAAUAUUGAAUAGAAGGAUGGGAAAACACAAAAAUAAUAAGUUCUAAUUAAUCUAAAAAUAUACGUAAACAAGCUUCACAAAAACAAAGCAUAAUAAAAUUGUUGAACAUAUGUUUUUUUUAAAUGUUAAAAUUGUUCUUAAACAUAGUAAUUACAUUCCAAUAAAACCUUCAGAAAUAUAUGUAAAAUUUCAUAACAUUGAACACAUGAUUCUGAGAUGUAAAACAUGUUUUUUCAUAAACUAUAUGUGGAAAACUUAGAUAUUCCACUUGGUGAAAUAAUUAAAAAAGAUUAGGUACCAACAAAUAUUAGAAAAACAUGAUUAUCAGCAUCAAACAAAAGUAACACAAAAAUCUGAAAAGUUGGAUGUCUUAGAUAAAAAGCAAUAAAACCUGAUGAAGUUACCAAACAAAACUUCAACCCUACCAGCACUACAGAAUCAAAAAGCUACCAUCAGUGACUAGACAAUAUACAGCUCCAUCAUAAAGGUCAAUACCAACUCCAUGGCUGCAGAAGGUGAUGAAUGAAUGAAAGAAGCUAUCCUACUGUCUACUUAGAUCUCUGCCUCAUCUUUCGUCGCUUCCUCUUUAGUCUCCUCAUUCGCUUCUUCUUCCACUGCAACAAAAAGAUCCUGGAGUUAAAUGCUACUCAUCCAAAUCUACAACUCUAACAACAAAUCUAUACAGAGCUAUCAAAUUCCCCAAGCCUAAAUACUUGAAAAUCAGAUUGGUAAGAGUAUUAAAAAACUUAACAAAAACAUCCGGGAAGUGGAUGUCAGAAAACCAAAUGAAUCCAUGCAAACGCAGACAACUUUAGAAUGACUAAUCACAAAACAAGUAUUAUGUUGAUGCGAAGCUUCAGAUUCCUAGGGUUUUAGAUUGAUUAAACGAACGAUCGAAGCCAAUAACAAAACAAUUCGAGUAAUGAUGAGGAAGAAUUUUACCUUGGCACGCAUGGUUCAAGCUUUCUUGUGUUUUCGCUCUCUUUCUUGGGUUCUGAAUUUCUGAUCGGCCGAUAGACAGUGUCGAAUCAAUCUGGACGAAGAAAGGCAAGGCGUGUUGGCUUUUAUUUAUAGCUAGGGUUUGGGUUAGACCAUAGCAGUUGGGCUUUAGAUAUAUUUAAAUGGGCUUA